rnacentral:lncRNA from 1 species
UAAUUAAGUAUAAUCACUAGAAACAUGUAUUCGAAAAUGUUAAGCUUUCUCCUUGCGCUCUUGGUGAUUGAGUCAUGUUCGUCUUACUUUUUCUAUAUUUAUGUGUAUCAUACGAUCACAUGUAUGUGUGUUCAUAUACCAAUUCAUUUCUAUGUUUAAGAAUUCAUUUGUUUGUUGCAGGUGUUUUACUUGAUGUUGAAGCAAGAGGAGGCGUGGUUGUUUUCCAUUGUACGAGUGACCAGGAUUGCAGCAUAAGUUGUCAGGGAAUUGGUGCGCCGAAGUGCAUCAAUACACGGUGCAAAUGUUUGCCUCCAGUCCCAGGCGGCAAGAACAAGUCUGGUGUUAAUAAGGAAUUCUUUAAUAAUUGAAUUGAAGAAGCAUGCUCAUGAAGUAUGAACUUCAAAGCAUUUUCUGAAAUAGGCUUUAUAAUAAUUGGCGGGCAUUCUAUAACACUUGUCUUGGGAUCAUCCUAUAGCACUUGUUAAGAAUCAGAUUCCAAAUAAAGGUUUGGGUUUAAAAAGUUAACCUUACAAUACAAAAUUUCAAAAUUCAAUACAGUAUUGAGCUAAAACGAGAAAAUCGAUCAAUCUAAAACUCAAUCGAGCAAUUGAAUUCCAAGUGUAGUUUAGUUAUUCCCCAAAAUCAAUUUCGGGUAAACGAGAAAUUAAGAUAAAAAAAAAAAAUUAAAAAAAUGAGCCACUUAAACAUGAAUGUGCUCAAAAUUAAAAUUAAAUUAUGCAGGAAUAUUCUAUUAAUCUUGGUGCAACAUGUUACGAUAUAUAUUUGUUUGGUAGGAAUUGGAAUUAGAUUUUUAGUAGAUUUUGACACAAUUUGAUAAAAUGUGUGAUUGAAAAGUUGUGGGACCUAUAAAAUAUGUGGUUAAAAUUAAUUGUUGACUUUAACUUAGAUUAAAGUAUAAAUUUUUAUCGAUACCAAACAGGGGCAACUAUUUUAGUUCAAAAGUCCUCUAUGAAUUCAUAUACAGAUGCCUUUUGAUCGAGAAAAAUUCAUAAAUGUACGGGAUCGUUGACAAAUAAUAUGCGAAAAGUUACGUGUAUUGUCCCACGUGAAUAAAUUCUAAUUUAAGUGUACUAGUUUUAUACCAAAUUCGAGUAGUUGUAAUACAAAAGAGAUUUUGGUGUAAUUAUUCUAAGAAAUAUGUAAUGCGUUGUUUUGUAUAAAUGAAUGAAUGAUUGCAUGAGAUUUACGAAUCCCCCUCCCCCUGUUGUUAUCAAUUUCAAUUGUCAACUAUAUAAUUAAGUUACAUUCAUUCAUUUAUUCUUGACAAUCAAUAAUCCAAAAACAUUUAACUUUCUUUUUAAAGAUAAUUUAAGUCAUUUUUAGAUACAAUUCGAUCAUAUUCCUAAUCCAAAUUAAUAUGAUUAGAUUGUAACACACAGUCAUCACAUAGAUUAUGCACAUCAUACAUGUUAUUCCUAACAUUUGUUAUCCAUGUGUUAAUCAUAUAGUAUUUUACUUACUGUGAGUCUUUUGACACUACAACAAUCAACAAAUUUUCUAAAUGGUGGCUAAUCAAUCAAGUAGUGCAAUGAAAAUGCAAGAUUAAUCAAGAAACACAAUAGUUAACUAAACAACUUGUUUUGAAUUUUUAAAAAAAAGAAAAGAAAAAAAGAAGCAAAAGGGUUAAUUGACAAGUGUAUUUUACGUGCUUAUUUAUGUUUUUUUCUUUUUCAAUCUUUCUUUCCUUUUCUUUUUACGAACAUUAGAGGUAUGAUUAAAAUUUAUUUUUUUCUAUUGAUUAUAUUUAUUUCAAUUUAUCUUUCUCUCUCUAUUAUUAUUUAUCUCUAUUUUCUAUCAAAAACUGAAUUGGAUUGUUGUAAUUUUUUUUCUUUUUUCAUUUUUUUAAAAUAUCUAUUUUUUAUUAAAUUAUAAAAAUUUAUAAUUCAAAUUUAAAUAUAUAGAUUUUUAUUUAUUUUUAAAAGUAUAUUAUAUUAAUAAUAUUGAAUAUUAAAUUCAUUGUUUAUCAUAUAUAAGUAUAAUUUUGAUUAUUAUUUAAUUAAUUAAGGUCUUCAAUUUUUAUUCUUUUAAUUUUUUUUAAUUUUUAUUCUUUUAAUUUUUUUUAAUUAUAUGGGAAGGAAAAGGGGAAUUGUGGAAACCAACACCUCGUAUAUGAGAAUUUCACAUCAUUGUACUAGAUCUACGUGAAUUCUAUUUCAAAUGAAAGUUUUCAAAAGUCUUUCAAAUUCUACAACAGUCUAUAAAAAUUUUAGAAUGAAAGUUCAUAGAAGUCUACAAAAGACUUCCACUGAUUUCAUACAAAUCUAUAAAAGAUCCUCGAAAUCCAUAGAAGUCAUCACUUAAAAAAAGUUUAUCAAAGUUUUCAAAAGUCCCAAUUGAAUACACCUCUUGAAAAAUUAUGAUUUAUUUUAUGUGUAGGAAAAGUUUGAGGUUGAGCAUAGCUAAUGCAAAAAGUGUGAUUUUGAGCUUAAUUGGAGAAUUAUUCGAGCUUUUGAAGAUCAUUCGGUGUUGUAAUUAAUCAAUUGGAAAAAGUUAUUGCUGCAAUUGGAUGAAUUCAUGAGAUUAAGCAUAAAAAAAAUGUCAAUUUAAAGUUUGGAACCAAAAUAGAAGUGUUGGAAUGUUGGAGGAUGUAGAUAUUGGGCUACGGGUAUAUAACGAGUUGCAAACCCACAACUCGCCCCACGAUAGCUGAUUUUGCCUGUAUGCCAAGCAUAGGCUGCGUUGCGGUAUUUCCUGUUGCCAUAUUUCAAGUUUUUUCUUUUAUGGGGACUCUUAUAUGAGUUGCAAACUAUAUAAAGACUUGAAUAUGAGAAAAUGAUUCCAAAACUUGAGGAUUAGAGAGAAACACAUCAUAGAAAAACAAGAAAUCAAGCUGUCAAGACUAGGGUUUGAAGCAUUGAUUUGGCUAGAAGAGGAUCUUGAUGCAAGAUUCAUCUACUUCUCUACAUUUUCAUUCAAAACUCGGUAAUGUAUUCCAUAAUAAUUCUUUGUUUUUCUUCUUUCAAUAUGUGUGGCUAAACAUUUUGUUAGGGUGAACAAUAUAGUUUAUUACAAUCCUUUAAUGCAAUUUUAAAUUCUAGUUCUCAUUUUCAUGUGUUGAUUUUAUUUAUAGUGUUUAAUGCUUGAAUUGCUUGGCUAAUAAUUCAAUAAUUUUGUGAAUUUAUAACGAGUCGAUAGGUGAGUUAUCGGUUUAGACUAUGUAGUAAAAUUCAGGACUAGUAAAAAGUGUAGAGAUGUAUUUUCUAGUUAAUGCGGUCAUUACAUGGAUUUUUAGAAAUUUAAUGCGCUUAACUAAGGUAUAUAUUGAUUUACAUAGAGAUAUGUAAUUGACUUAGUUAAAAAAAAAAAAAAAAUCAAUUUGAACUCAAAAGAGAUAAAUUGAAUACUUUAGAAGAAUUUGAUUGAACGCAAUAUUUAGUUAAGAAUCUUGAUUAGAGAAUUAAAAGUAAUCUAUAAAUAAAUUUGUGUGCCCUAAUAUAUCUUCAUAUUAAAAACCUAAUUCGGGUUGUGUGUGCAUUACGAUACAUUUGAAUAGUUAGUAUAACUUAGAAAAACAAUCACCUAACUAUAAUUCAUUUUCGUGAAAUAGAAGUGGAAAUAAUAAACUAGGAGCAAAUAAUAGUCUCUGUAAAAACUAUUAUAUCCAUUAUAUUACUUGUUUGAUAUUAUAUACUUGCGAUAGAAAAACAGCAUUUCAUCAUCAUCCAAUACAAACAAGGAUUUAUCCUAGAUAAUUUUAUAUAAAUUACAAGAAGAAUAAUGAAUAAAUAUUACCCAAAACAUGAAUGAAUGCAAUAUAUCUUGAUCUCCAAUUUCAAGCUUGAAAUUUUCAAGUUCUUGAUGUAAUUGGCAUUCAAUUUCUUUUUAGGUAAAUCUUUUCCAUCAAAAGCUUUGAGUUUGCCUUUUGUUCUUGAUAAAUUUUAUAACAUGGAUGUAUAUUAAGAGACUAAAAAGAGAUUCCCUAAUGUGUAGCUCUUGUUCUAUUCUUAUAGUCAUCGAAUUUUAGGUUAAGAUUGCAUCCAAAUUAGUAUCUAAACAGAAUUUUGAUCGUAGAAUGAAAUUGUCAGAAAUUUGUAUCGUGCGUUUGCAUGGCACAUAUCACUGCCUUUGCAGUGUAUAAAUUUUUUUCUCGAGAUUACCAAAAUGAGGUCUCGCACGCUCGCCCCGCAAGCUCUGUUAUGUCUCUCAUUAGUCGUCGCUAUUUUGUCAUAUUUUUUCUAUUAACAUACAAUUGAGGCAACUCAAAGCUUGUUAAAAGCCAAAUUUAAAGGAUUACAAUUAUUCUAUAAAUAUAAUUUUUUUUCAAUUCGAACGUAUACUAUACAAAAAAUUGGUCUCAAUUUGCCAUUAAAAAUUUGGAACAUGUAUAACUUGUGUGGCUGGAAAUAGUUUGACUAUAUUUUAAUGCUGCACUCGUUUGACUUAUAGUUGUAUACCAUUAAUCCUAUGUGAUCUUCAAUCAACAUUUUGUGGUUUGAAUCAACUAUCAUAUAUUUACAAUUAGGUACCAAAACUUUGAAUUUCUUUCUUUUUCACCCAUUUCUUAUUCCUCUCUUCUAAUUCCACCAUUUUGCACAGAGUUUUACCUAACAAACAAAAUUAAAAUAAAAUUAAGCUAUAAUCCACCCAAAUCACUAACAAAUACUCCAAUUUAACGGUCCGGAUAUACACUAAUCAAGUACCUCCAAACUUGAGCAAUUGUUUGUCCUCAAACAAAAUAUAACUUAACUUAAACAAAGCUUUUAAAUAAACAUGGUUGGAUAACUUGUCUUUGAUAUCAUGAUUCGAAUUCCUGUUCCAAAACUAUGAAGUGUUUUAAAAUCGUAUUGCUAUGAUCAAUUUCCACUUAUACUAUGCAAAAUCGAUGUGUGUGUGUGAAAUUUCAUGUAAAGGACUAUGAAGUCAUAGAUUUAUUCAAGUCCCAACAUUUAAUGAUCAAAUAUUUUCUUUCUACAAUCGCAAGAUUCACAUCCUAAAUUUAUUUUUUUAUUCUUUUCCCACAGUGUGAUCAAAAGUUGAUAUUAUAUAGUAGGACAAUUAGCAUAUAAUGUUCAUACCUUUCGCUAUUAUUGUGAAAAACGUGCAUGCCUUCCCUUUUUUCACAUUUUCAGCCUUAAAUGUACAUUUGAUUGAACAAAAUAUCAUUUUCAUAUAUUUUCUCAAUAAAAACUGUGAAAUAAUAAAUAUACCAUUAUAUUUAAAUAAAAUAAAAAAAAUAAAGAACAUGUUGCAACAAAUUUUUUAAAAAGUACAAAUAAAUCUCAAAUUAAUAAUUAAAAAAAAACAUAAAUCAUUUUCUUUCUUACUUUCUCUUCCGCCGCCACUUUCACUCGCCGAAAACAGUACCCAACCGUCAAAAACAUAUGAAGUUAAAUUAUAUUAAAUGGUACUAUUUAAAAAUAUAUAAGAGUAGAAUUGAUGUAUAACUAAAUAUAUAAGAGUAAAUUGGUAAUCAAAAGUUUCUCCUCAUUCUACACUUUUAAUAUAUUGUAGAUGAAUUAUGUUAUGAAAUAAAAUCCUUAUGAAUUUAAAACAUUAAUCCCCUAUUAGCUAUGGUCGUCUGAUAUGCCAUAUUUGAUAAUUUUAGAAGGGAUACAUUUAAUAUAUCUUCAUCAAUUUAAUUCAACAUAUCGAACAUAUUACAAUGUAAAUGUAAAGUUCCAGAGUGUUUGGUUUGUCUUCCUAAUAGUGUCAUCCAUCGAUGUACAAAAUUGCACAACAAUAAUGGAAGAGAGAAAAAUCUUUAAUUCAAUAUUGCCCUCGUAGUGUUCAGCCGUGGUGGUUGGCCUGUGGCCUGUCACGAUUGGUUGGCAAGUCUAAUUUUUCAAAUUUUGCAAUAAAACUAAGAAAUGAAUAUAAAACGAUUCAAUAUAACUAUCUUAAUUAAUAUAAUAUAUUAUCUAGUAAUCUUGAAUUUAUUUUGUAGACGUGAAUGGGUUCGAUUUAAACGAUUUGUGAAAAAUUUUCAAAUCAAAUCAUGUAAAACGGUUUAGAAUUUUUACAAAUCAAACGAAACCUAACAAUUUCACUCUCCAAACCAAACCAAACUAAACCACUUUUUUCAAUUUGAUUCGAUAAAAUAAAAAGAGUAUAUAUCGAAUAAGUUGUAUUAUAUAUAUUAAUCUAAAACUUAUGUUAAAACAUGAAUAUUAGUAUUGUUACAAACAUUACAAACAAAAGUUUUACACUUUUUAUCAUUACAAUACGACAUAAUAGUAACAUCUCAGUUGAUAAAAAAUUAACGCAAUAUCUCCAAUUUUAACAUAUGAAUUUCGUUCUCAACAUAAUGAUAAGGAUAUAGCAAAUAUAUAUCAUAUUAUAAUUAUUAAUUAAAUGAUAUAAAAUAACAAAAAAAGAAGAAGAAGAUCAAAUACGAUAAUACUAAAUAUUAUAGAUCAGAAUGAAACCAUACCAAUUAACAGUAAGAAUCUAGCAACUAAGUUAAAAUAAAUAUUAACUUAAGUAACUGACCAAAAAAUUGAGACACAAAAAAAUAAUAAUAAUAAAAAUAAUAAAAUAAUAAAAUCUGCUCAACUAAAAUUUAAGGAAGGCUAGUCCAAAUAAGGACAAAAACACAAUUACAAAUAAAAUAUAGCAAAUAAUUAUUAAAAAAAAUGGAUAAACUGACUUGGAAAUUGAUCCGAAAUCCGUUUAAUUAAUUAAGUUAUUUUAAUUGUACGAGUACUCUUUAAUCUAUUUUAGACUUACAUUUCUGUUUAUAACUAUGCUUAUUGUAGUUGGAUAUAAUUUUUAAUCAAGUAUAAAUUUAGUUAUUCUGAUGCACUAAUAUAAUAAUCUUCAAUUUACUUGGGGCUUCAUUCUCUAUUAUAAGUGUAAUUGUUGUAUGUGAUUAUAUAUUUUUAUAUAAAUUUAAUUCGUUUAACUUAUUUAAUUCACUAAUUAAUUAGUUGAAUCUAUUUAAGCCUUUAAAUAUCUAUUUAUUGUAAUAAUUAUUUUAUUGAUGGACUUUAUUAUUUUAACCCUUGAAAUUAAACAACGGAUAACAUGUGCAUAAAUAGAUCGAAGAGCACAUAAUUUUAACCUUCCAAAACUAUACUAGAUAAUAACGUAUAUAUAAGUUAUAAGUAUUGACAAAUGGCCUUACUUGAGAAUGUUGAAAUAUAUUAUUUUUACAUGGUUUGACAUGUGAAUUUUUGUACAUAGUGUAGGAACCCUAGAACCGCUUCAAAGCAUCAAAAAUUGCAAGACUAAAGAUCAAGAUUUGUAGAUUUGAAAACAAUAAAGAGAAACACAAGCGAUUUUUGGCCGAAGCCCUGAGGUUCAGUUAUUUGUCAAAAUCGCCUAAUCCCCGUUGAGCAUCCACGAAGGAAUAAGCUCGAAUCCACUAGAACAAAACACACCAGCCAAAUUACAGCAGUUUUCGAAUCACAGAAGGAACACACAGUUCCAACCACCACGACAACACUCUCCUCUACAAUACAAAGAACUCACACAAGAGUUCAUAGCAUCACAUCUACUCUCAAUCAACUAAAGGAAUCAACAAGAUUCAAGACGAGAGAACCAACAAAUAUAGAGAGAGAUUUUUCAACUCAAAACGAAAAGAAAACGAAAGCUGCGUAAAAUGAGAGCCAACCCUAACCCUAGAAUUGUUGAUCCUUUUUAUAUGAAAUAAUCAAUUCAUUUGAUCCAAUGGUCCAGCGACUGCCAAGUGUCACAAUCAUGUGAGAGUCGUUUUUUUCUCAAAACAGAAAGCAUGUUUUUCCUUUAUGCAAUUAAGCUUCCAGAUAAUUCUACCAGUUGGGCCAUUUAACAGGGUCAUGGGCCGUUAGAUAUUAACUUGGGCUUCACAAAUGGCAGCAACCCAAUUUCUACAUUCUCCACCUUUGCUGUCUUUUGUGCAUGUUCUUGUGGAUUCAAAACUCAACUUCAUUUCAUUAGCUCUUAUUACCUGUAAAAACAAAAUUAACUAGAAUCAGUCUUCUUCAAGAUUUAUUAAUCUUAAAGAAUCAAGAAACUUACUAAUAGGGAUUAUCUUAGUAUCAGCAUCUGCUGGAUUUACCUUUGCAGGUAUUUUGAUCAAUCUAAUAUCACCCCUAUCAAUGAUAUCUCUAAUAAAAUGGAACUUUACAUCUAUAUGCUUUGAUCUAUCAUGCAGGAUAGGAUUUUUACUUAGAAAAAUAGCACUUUGGUUGUCUGAACAUAGCUCCACCUGAUUUUCUAUAAGACCUAAUUCAUUAAGCAAACCCUUCAGCCACAAUCCCUCUUUCACAGCUUCCGUUGCAGCAAUAUAUUCAGCCUCGGUUGAGGACAAUGCAACAAGUUUUUGAAGCUGAGAUUUCCAGCUAAUGCAUGUAUCAUUUAUCACAUAAAAGUAUGCAAUUGUGGACUUCCUAUUGUCUGGAUUACCAGCAAAAUCUGAAUCUACAUAUCCCCUAAGUCUAAAUCCAUUUUUAUUUGUUUUGAACAUUAGACCUAAGUUACUUGUUCCUUUCAAGUACUUAAUCAGAUUUUUCAUGCAUUGCCAAUGUAUUUCACUUGGGUUACUCAUGAAUCUACUUAACACGCUCACGGCAUAAGCAAUAUCAGGUCUAGAGCAAACCAUAAUAUACAUCACAGAUCCAACAGCAUUAGAAUAAGGUACAUUUAUCAUUCUUUUAUGCUCUUCUUUAGUUUUAGGCGAUUGAUCAACAGAUAGUUUCAUACCAGCAAAUAGAGGCAAACUUACAGGCUUAGACUCAUAAAGGGAGUACCUUUUUACAACCUUAUCAAUAUAAGAUUUUUGUGUUAAAAACAACUUUCCAUUUAUUCUAUCUCUUCUUAUUUCCAUGCCCAAAAUCUUUAUAGCUGGUCCUAAAUCUUUCAUUUCAAAUUCAGAUUUUAGAUUUUCUUUAAUGAGUUCAGUGAAUUGUGACCAGCAAGGAGCAUAUCAUCAACAUACAAAAGCAGAUAGAAAAAAUAAGAUUUCCCUUCUUUCUUGUAAUAGAAACAGGGAUCAUAUUCUGAUUUUCUAAAGUUCAAGCCUUGUAUAAAAGAGUUAAAUCUUUUAUACCACUGCCUAGGGGCCUGUUUAGGCCAUAUAAGGAUUUCUUUAAGAGACACACUAAGUUUCCUUUUCCUACCACUUCAAACCCUCUUGGUUGAGUCAUAUGUAUGGUUUCAUCUAAAGAACCAUACAGGAAGGCAAUUUUCACAUCAAGUUGUUCUAACUCUAAAUCAAAUUGUGUCACUAUAGCAAGUAGGACUCUAAUGGAUGUAUAUUUAACAACCGGUGAAAAAUUUCAUUGUAAUCUAUCCCUUCCCUUUGAUUAAAGCCUUUAGCUACAAGUCUUGCCUUAAACCUCUUAUUACUAACCUUUGUCUCACUCUCUUUAAUCUUAUAAACCCAUUUACAAUCAAUCAACUUACAAUCUUUGGGUGUUUCAACUAAAGUCCAGGUUUCAUUCUUAAAGAGUGAGUUCAUUUCAUCUUCCAUCGCAGUAAUCCACUUAGGGAAUUCUUUGGAAGAUAUAGCAUCUUCAUAAGAGGUUGGUUCUAAGUCAAACUGAUCUGAUGCGAAAUCAGCAUGUUGAUACAUGGUUGGAGGCCUUAUUUCCCUCCUUUCUCUAUCCCUAGCAAGUUGGUAGCCCUACAGAUCAUGUGCAGGCUCCAGAUGCUGUUCAUUUUCAAUUAUUUCAGCAUUAGAGUUAUUUUGGGGUACUACCUGUUGUGGCUCCACCUCAAGCUAAGCCUGGUCAUCAGUAUUGUGGCUAUCAAAAUUAAUUUCUGUGAUAAUGAAGUCAUCCUUUCCCAAUUUCUCACUAGAUUUGUCACUAAGAUAAGGGAAAACAUCUUCAUUAAAGAUAACAGAUCUGCUUGUUAUCACCUUAUAACCCCUCACGUCUCUUAACCACAAUCUGUAGCCUUUAACACCUUCUCCAUAUCCUAAGAACACACCCUUCAAUGAUCUAGGGUCCAAUUUUGUCUCAGUAUGAUGUGCAUAGGCUGCACAUUCGAAAGUUCUUAGAUGAGAGUAAUCUGGCAUUGAACCAGACCAGAUUUGUUGGGAAAUUCUGUUAUUUAAAGAGCUGGAGGGGCAUCUAUUUAUAAGAUAACAUGCUGUUUUUACAGCUUCUCCCCAGAAAAUUUUUAGAAGGCCAGAACUGAUUAGCAUACAUCUGAUCCUUUCAAGAAUUGUCCUAUUAAGCCUCUCAGCAACUCCAUUCAGUUGUGGAGUAUAGCUCACAGUUUUAUGUCUCAUUAUCCAUUGUUUACUGCAAUAUUGGUCAAAUUCUGUAUUGCAGAAUUCAAGGCCAUUAUCAGUUCUUAAAAUUUUUAUUUUCUUACUAGUCUGAUUUUCAAUUAGAACACUCCAUUCUUUGAAAAUUGCAAAAGUGUCAGAUUUGGAUUUUAGUAAGAAAAUCCAUGUCUUUCUUGAAUAGUCAUCAGUUGUAAGAAGAUAAUAUCUGUAACUAGAUACAGUAGAAACAGGUGCUACUCCCCAUAAAUCAGAAUGUAUGUAUUCAAGGACAUCUUGGGAUUUGUGCAGUCCUACCUUAAAAGGCAGUCUUACAUGUUUUCCCAAAAUACAGUGUUCACAAAAGGUCAAUUUCUGAACAUGUCUUUUCCAAAUGCCCCUUGACAUGAUAAUGUUUUUAAACCUUUUUCACUUAAGUGGCCAAGUCUUUUAUGCCACAGUUUUGAUUUAUCGGGGUUUGUGACAGAAUUCACAGAAUUUUUUGGUGAAAUGGUUUCAUCACCUAUUACAUAGAUUCCAUCAAGCUUAGGAGAACUGAUAAUGUGUUCUUGAUUUCUUAUUAUAUUUGUAAAACCAUUUUUAAUACCAAUUUGAUAAUUUUCAUCAUCAAGAACUCCUAGGGAUAUGUGAUUUCUUCUAAGUGCUGGUACAUAUCUUGUAUGUUUUAAUAACAUGUGAUGGCCAUUUUUGAACUUCAACAGCACAUUUCCAAUUCCCUUAACUUGGCAUGACUCAUCAUUGCCAAGUUUUACAAAUCCUCCAUCUAGACUACAAAAGUCUGAGAUGCAGUUAAUGUUGGGCGUCAUAUGAAAGGAACACCCUGAAUCCAGGACCCAGUCCUGAUCAGUAUCUUCAGAUAGAGAUACAUAGGCUACACCAAUAUUAGCUCCUGCUUCUUUAUAAUUAGCAGCAACAGCUAAAGAAGCAUUUUCAGUAUUAGACCCAUUCUUUUGGUCAUUUGCCCUUUUAAAAUAGUCUUUAAUAAAGUGGCAUGUCUUUCCACAAUAAAAGCAUUUUUUGUUAUUGUUGCUAUUUUGUUUUCCUUUGAUUGGUUCCUUGCCUUUUCCUUUGGUGUUAUUCCACUGCCUUUUGUUAAAGGUUUUAUUUCUGUUAAAAUUGGAAUGACUGAAGUUACUUACUCCUUUAGGAUAUGGUUUUUGAUUUGAUGACAUACCCUCAACAUGGGACACUUCUUUGUGUUCAGAUUUUAAUUCAAGUUCUUUAUUCAGAAGAGAACUGUGAAUUAUUUUAACAGUGAGAUCACUCCUACCAUACUCUAGAGCAUUUCUAAUAUCUUUAUAUUUAUCUCCUAGAGCAUUAAGUAGGCCAACUACCUUCUGUUCAUCAGAAAUUUUCUCAUCACAGUUUGCUAAGUCAUGUGUGAUCCUAUUAAACCUAUCCAUAUUAUCUCCCAUAUCAAGGUUAGGAUCAAACUUAAAACUAAAAAAUUAUCUCCAAAGAAAACAUUUAUUUGGCACAAUCUUUGUAAGGUAGUGUUUUUCUAAGGUAGUCCAUAAUUCUUCAGCAGUUUUAGUUUCUCCUACUUUCCUAAUUACAGUAUCAGACAGGUGUAGGAACAAAGUGCUCCAGGCUAAUUCAUCUUGCUCAGUUUUCCUAAUUACAGUUUCUCCUACUUUCCUAAUUACAGUAUCAGACAGGUGUAGGAACAAAGUGCUCCAGGCUAAUUCAUCUUGCUCAGUUUUCCUAGCUUCAGAUAAGGUUUCUGGCCAAGAUUCAUCAAUAGCCUUAGCACAUUUUAACUGUAACAAUAGUGCUUUAAUUUUUUGACACCAGAGAGUAAAGUCUCAUUUGCCAUCCCACAUUUGGACAUCUACCUUAGAGUUCAUAUUGUGCAGGAGUGUGAAAUUGUUCACAAGUUAUGAUAAAACAGAUAUAUCUCAAUGAUUAUUUAGUCAACAGUAUGUCACAAAGUUCACUGUCCUAUUAUUCCAAUUUCAGAUUAUAUGUGGACUAUGCUUUAGUGUGAUGUGUACAAAAUUAUUGCAACCAAAGUAAGACACAUACAGAUAUUCAAAAACACUAAGCAUGCUAUGAAUUUAAUUUCAUAAACUUACACACAGUAAGUUACCAAAAAUUGUAAGUGCAGUGUAUGUACCUUUGAAGCAUUAAACUUUGACAGGUUAACACCUGAGAAGAUCAAGUUGAGUGCUAGCACAAUUCACAUAGAUUGUACAACAAUUUAUCAAUCGAAAAUAUGAUUUUGAUUUAAUUCUCAACUCACAGCGAGAUUUUUAAGAAAGCAGUUUUUGAAGAUUUCAGAUUUCUUGAACCGAAAUCCUAGUCCCCAAAGUUUCUAGGGUUCUCUUAGGGAACCCUAGACAGAGGUAGAGCUAGAGGAGGUUCAGAGAAUCUCUUGUUUGAAAAAUGGUUUUAUUACCAAAGUAAUACCUCCCAAAAAAAUAAGUAUACCAACUAUUCAAUACAAAACUAAUUUGAUCACAAAAUUCAGUGUCUGCAGACUGCAGGUACCACAAAAACCAAACAAGAAAAGUCUAUAAUUUCACCAAGAACAGGUUAGUUACAGCUUACUGUAUACCCAAAAAUUAUCACUAUUCUGCAUCAUUUACAAAUACACAAUUGUAUACGAAGUUCAACACCAAACGAAGUAAGGGAAAUACAACAGUCAACAAGAACACUUGACUAUCUCAAACAGAAAACGAUAUCCACACUUGCUGUGCCCUCUCAAAAAUUAUUUCAGUAUUACUCAAAGAAAAGAAAAAAUUUUAAAACGAAAAAUUUAAUGUUGGCAGAUCUUGAAAAAGAAUCUGCCUAUUUUUCUUUUCGACCGGUGAGAUGAUUUCAGACCCUCGACUAAAUAGGAACCAAAAAAUAGCUAAAGUAAAGAUACUCUAGCUCUGAUACCACUGUAGGAACCCUAGAACCAUUUCAAAGCAUCAAAAAUCGCAAGACUAAAGAUCAAGAUUUGUAGAUCUGAAAACAGUAAAGAGAAACACAAGCGAUUUUUGGCCGAAGCCCCGAGGUUCAGCGAUUUGUCAAACUCGCCUAAUCCCCGUUGAGCAUCCACGAAGGAAUAAGCUCGAAUCCACUAGAACAAAACACACCGGCCAAAUUACAGCAGUUUUCGAAUCACAGAAAGAGCACACAGUUCCAACCACCACGACAACACUCUCCUCUACAAUACAAAGAACUCACACAAGAGUUCAUAGCAUCACAUCUACUCUCAACCAACUAAAGGAAUCAACAAGAUUCAAGACGAGAGAGCCAACAAAUACAGAGAGAGAUUUUUCAACUCAAAACGAAAAGAAAACAAAAGCUGCGUAAAAUGAGAGCCAACCCUAACCCUAGAAUUGUUGAUCCUUUUUAUAUGAAAUAAUCAAUUCAUUUGAUCCAAUGGUCCAGCGACUACCAGGUGUCACAAUCAUGUGAGAGUCGUUUUUUCUCAAAACAGAAAGCGUGUUUUUCCUUUAUGCAAUUAAGCUUCCAGAUAAUUCUACCAAUUGGGCAAUUUAACCGAGUCAUGGGCCGUUGGAUAUUAACUUGGGCUUCACAAAUGGCAGCAACCCAAUUUCUACACAUAGAAAACAGGCAAAAUUUAAAAUGAAAACUUUUUUUUUCUUUGACAUUAUUUUGACGAUUUAUUACUCUAGAGGUCCAAACAAAUGAAAACAAGAAGAACUUAUUUAUUCGAAUUGUAUCGUCAACAUCUUAUGUACAAGAUGAAUUUAUUUUUGAAAAAGAUAUAUGCACUUUGUAUUGGCAGCACUUUACAGGCUGGCAAUACAAAUCUUUGUGAGGAUAAAAGGAGUUACAAGGAGUCCCUACAAUCUUGGAGAGAUAAGGAAGAAGAUCCUCACAUUCAAAGAGAUAAGGCCACAUUUCAUAUACUCGUAGUGCGUUGAGUGAUAAAGGAAAUUAACCAAGGAUGCUUAUCCAACGAGAUGCAAUAUAUCUAGCAUGAGAAACAGUAUAUCAGAUUGAAGAACGUUGCAAAAGAUCAGAUCCGUUUAUAUUUUGAAUUUUAGAGAUUUUUGUGCAAAGUAGUUUUAUUAUUUUCACUGUAUUUUUUUUCUAUUUAAAGAGGCACCUCUGUAAGUUCUAGUGCUCACGUUAAAUAAAAAAUCUUCAUUAUAGCAAGCAUUUUUCUCUGUUCAUUAAAAAUUAUAUCAAUUCCAUUUUUUCUUCUCUUUGAACAUAUGAUAGUGAAACUUAAAUCUAAGACUUAAUUUAAUUUACGUCAUAAGCUCAAGUUAAAUUCUCAAAUAAGUGUAUAUAGCAACAAGCAAAUCUAUAAAUUUUAUUGAUGUCAAACGUAUUAUUUUGACGAAAAGAAAAACAAAAGUGAAAUCUUCAUUAUUUGUCAUCUUUUAAUACAUAUGAAAAAUUGAUAAACUCAAUUUAGUCUCUAAACAUUAUUUUGAUCCACUAGUUUACAAUAUUUCAGCAAACUUUUAUCAAACAAGCAUUAUGUAUAUUGGUGAUAAUCAUCAAUAUACUAAGCCAAAAUUUCUAGCUAGAAUUACAUUAAUCUUCUGUUAUUGUAGUAAUUUGAUUUUGUUCUAAAUCAAAGUCAAAAUUAUUAAAAUCAAAGAAGAAUGGGUGUAUUGGUGAUACUCAACAAUAUAUCAAACCAAAAUUACAAGAAAUACUAUAUGAUUGUGAUAGUUUUGAUUUUAAGAAUGAAAUGUAUUGUUAAGCAUUGCUUAUAAAUAAAGGAUGAAUUGCUUAAACUUAUUCUUUCUUACUAGAGAAAUGGGUUAAAAAAUAUUGGGGUUUCUUAUAUAUAUAUAUAUAUAUAUAUUUGCGGAAAUGAUCAAGACUCUUAUGACAUUUGUGACGAUUAUGUUAUGACAGCUUAAAUGUAUUGAAGCAAUGAAGCUUUAUCAAAAUAAAUGAAUUAGGUUAUGAAAUAAAAUCCUUAUGAACUUUAAACAUUAGUCCCUGUUAACUAUUGUCAUGAUCUCUAGUAUACCACAUUUUGAUUCAUCAAUUCAGUUCAACAUAUGGAAUAUAUCAUAAAAAUAUAUUGUAAAGCUCAAUAGUGGUUGGUUUGUUCUCCUAGUAGUGUCAUUUUGAUAAAACUGUUUUGAUCCUUUUUCUCUGAAUCUUUUCCUCUUUUUCAAUUUUUAUUAUUAUUGAGAUUUAAACUUUAAUUUUCAUUUUCAAAUGUAUAUUAGGUUAUCCAAUCACAGGAGUAUGACGAGAUAAAAUAAAGACGAAAACAUCGUGAUGAUAUCUCCAAUUUCCAUUUUAUACAUGUCUAUAGCAUAUUUAGUUCAUCAUCACGCUUAUACCGCUCGCUUAAAAAAAUAAUAGAUUUAAGAUGCAUCAAAUAUACGAAAUUAAUGAAAGCAUCAUAAUUCAAAUCAAUAAUAAACCUGAGUCCCCAUUUUAAACACUACUAAAAAAUAGUUUUUCAUCUACGAAAGAUUACCAACGGAUGCAAUCAUUUGGUAAUUAGAAACAGAUUAUCCGUUGGUAAAAGUUAUUCACUUUUAGCUACGAUAAUCAGCAACGAAUUUUUCGUUGGUAAUGAUGAUUUUUUUUACCAACUGACAUUUUGUGCCUCAUGUAAUCGUUUAACAUUUGGAUCUUUUACCUACAGAAUAUCCGUAGGUGACGUACCGAAUAUUACCAACGGAUGCAAUCCGUUGGUAAUUAGAAACGGAUUAUCCGUUGGUAAUUAGAAACGGAUUAUCCGUUGGUAAAAAUAAUUCACUUUCAACUGCGAUAGUCAGCAACGGAUUUUCCAUUAGUAAUGAUGAUAUCUCUUUACCAACGAAUAUUCUAUGCCUCAUGUAAUCGUUUAACAUUUGGAUCUUUCACCUGCGGAUAUUUCGCUGGUAAUUAGAAACGGAUUAUUCGCUGGUAAAAGUAAUUCACUUAUCCCACAUCGAAAGUUCACAACAAAGUCUUCGGAAUUGCCCUCUAUAAAUUAAUUUAUUGUGCAAUAAGUGGUUAAACAAUAUUUUGGCCUUUCAAUUCAGUUGGCUAAAAGUUAAAAAAAUUAGAAUUAUUAAAUAAAUAAUAAUCACAAUAAUAAAAAUUAGAUAAUUUUUUUAUUUUUUAUUUUUUUACCAUGUCUCACAUCUAUGCAACUAUUUACAACAUUGACUUUUACCAAUUAUAAUGAUAGACAUUUACCAACGGAAUUUCGUUGGUGAAAAAUUCACAUUUUUCGUAAGAUUCACACUUUUUACCUAUGGCAGGAUCCGUUGGUAACUAUCAACGACCCUCAAAUUAGCAAUGGAUUUGCGGUUGCAAAUAUUUCAUUGAUAAAGAAUAAUAGCAACAGAUAUCAAGGUUUCAGGAACGGAAAAUCCGUGCCUGAAGCCAUGUUUUUUAGUAGUGAAAGGAAAAUAAAUUAAUUAAAUAAAAUUCUGAAUGAAGCAUGAUGAAGAAGAAAUCUUCAAUAUCCUUAUUUUCUUUCCACAAAAUUUGAAAUGAGGUAAUUGACCACAUAAAUGUUAUUUUUCUAUGGCUAAUUCAGAAUAGAAUAUAAUCUAUUACCAUCCUUGAGACCAUGCAAUACAUGGCCUGUCCGUUUAGAAAAAUCCAAUUUAUUAACAAUUUAUACAUACCUGUACAUUGUACAAUAAUCAAAUUGGUCACAUAAGCAUUAAUUAAAUAACUAAAGAUACAAUAAAUUAACCAUCGAUAUGAGAAUCCGUAGCCUGAAUUUGAGCACGACACCAGUCAUUAAAAUGGUCCUUGAAGACUUGAGCAAAUAUCAACAAUAAGCUGAUGGUGAAAAUGAUGGACAAAUCCAAACUACGAUUUAAGAAAUUGUCAACGCAUUCAGAGUAAAUUUGAAAGUAGCAUCUCUUAAUUGCGCUACCUUAGAUAUUUGAAUUCAUUACUUUUAGAGUCUUACAAACCCCUCUCAUGGGUUAGCCCCAUGUGGGCCUCGAGGCAAUAAAAUAUGAAAAAAAAAAAAAAACAUCGACCCCACCCCAUGUGAGACCCUGUAAGGAUCUGUAAGGGGCUGGGCCUGUACGCCCAACUUGGUUCGAACUAUUUAUCUAUACGAGUUCUUCACUAAAGGAUACUCAAGUCUGAAACUUAACUUCACUCAGAAGUUAAGGACAAUCUUAUUGUACUUCCUGUUCGUAGUUACGGCAAUAUUGUUUUAGACAGCAGUCAAUAUUUGUAUGCUGUAAAGAACAUUUUAGUAAACUACAUAUGUUGUAGUGGUUGAAUUCAUGUUUUUCUUCAGACAAAUUGAAUGGGUUGAAGAUAAUAGAUUAAAAAUUUUGGAUUAAGUGGUAUAACAUAUCAUCACAGCAGGUAAAUGUCAUAGUUUGAGCUUAUGUGGUUCAAACGUGUGAAAUAAUGAAGAUUGGACCCAAACAAAGUUUCUCGUUUAAUUUAUUAAUCUGAUUUAUAAAAUCUAAAAUAUGCAAAAUGGUACAUUUUCAUAAUAAGGUUACUCAAACUCAUUAAAGUGGAUAGAAAUUUCGAAAAUUACAUGAGUUUCUUACUAAAUAUUUUUUUUUGUGAUUUUGAUGACUUUUUUCCCAUAGAACGAAUGGUUUAAUUGGUAAGCUUAGACUAAAUAAAGGGAAGUGAGCAAAAAUCUCAAAGAUUACAUGAAUUUCUUACUCAAUCUUUCAUGAUUUUGAUAGUUUUUAUCUUUUAAGAAUGAAACUUAUUUUAUGCUUAGCCUAUAAAUAUGGUUGAGAUUUUUGUUACAAUUAUAAUUAAGUAUAAUAACUAGAAACAUGGAUUCGAAAAUGUUAGGCUUUCUCCUUGCGAUCUUGGUGAUUGAGUCAUGUUCGUCUAUAUCACGUUUUCAAUAGUUAUGUGCAUGAUAUGAUCUCAAUUUAUUGAAGCAAGAAAUGUGGUUAUUUUCCAUUGUACGACGAACGAGGAUUGCAUCUACAGUUGCAAGGGAAUUGGUGCGCCAAAGUGCAUCAAUGCAAAGUGCGAGUGUUUCCCUCCAGUCCCAAGCGGCACGAACAAGUCUGGUGUUAAUAAAGAAUGUUGAAAAUAUAGAGGUGGUAAUGAAACCGGAUUAUUACUUACCGUAUGUGUAGUUUAGAUACCAAUUUUAAGCAUACCGUAUAUGCCGCUUACCAUAUAUGUAGAUAGUGAUGAGUGUAAUUCACUCAUUAAACUAAAGCUUCUAAAUCACGUUUUUUGAUGUGUUCUUGGACAUUUUUGAACGUUUUGAUGUGUGUGUUCAUGUUGUUUUGUAGUUUGGAUAACUCUCGAGAAAAUAUCACUAUUGGGAGCCUGUGAUGAGCAAAUAUGAUGAUCAAUGGAAUGGAGCAUGAAUAGGCUAGUAUUGAAUAAGAUUGGAGUGGAAAAUAGAUUUGAAAAACAAAGAGAAGAGAAACAAAGCAGUGGCAUUGGCGCUACGGCGUCGAAAAAGGGGCGCCAACAAGAAGGAAGCAGAACCACUGGCGCCGUGGCGUCCAAUGCAGGCCAAACCGAAGCAGAGACCUGGGUGCCACGGCGCCAGACCUGGGCGCCAUGACGCCAGUUACCAUGAUAAUCGCGGCGCCAUGUUUGGGCACCGUGGCGCCAAAUCCCAAAACGUUAAAACCCGAAUUUUUAAUUAUCUUUUCGGCCCAAAAAUCAUACCCUAACCCUUGAUGACUCUGAGAGUAGAAAUACGAAGAUGAAGGACAAGAGAAGGGGGUUAGACGCUAAAGAGGCAAGAAAAAGAGAGGCACCAAUUGAGAGAAGAUCGACCUGAUUUUGGAGAAGAAGAAGGCAGAAAACUGAGAAAUCAAGCAACAAGAUUGAGAAAUAGAGCAGCAACUUGAGUUUUUUUUUCUAUCUUUCUCUUAUACAUGCACUCUAAUUUGUAUUUUAUUGUAUUCUUCUUCUCAAUCAUGAACUAAUUUAUUAAAUCUAGGGUUUGAUGUAACCUAUUUGAGACAUGAUUCAAUUUCCUUAUAGUAUUUCCAUUUAAUUUUCCAGAAUUGAUUUGUAUUGUUUUUGUUUAAUGCUUUCAGUUGUUUGAUCACUAAUUGAAUGAAUUGAUGCUCUAAAUUUGAUGCUCGAGAGAGGGAAAUUUAUGUUUGAUCUAAGAACAAUAUAACCUAGAUUUGUAGGUUUCGAGAAAAAGUACGAAUUUUUGAGGGUAAAACAAGAACCAAGUGCAUGAUAAUCUUUAUAUAUUUAAUUCGGAAUAGAGAUAUUGGGUUGAAAUAUAGAGAUAGAUUCUAUUUGACACUCGAGAGGGGGAAAUUGAAUAAAUUUAGGAUUCUUGCCUAUGAAUUCGGGAAAUAGUUGAUGGAAAUAUCUAUAGGGAUUGAGAAUUAUGUCAAGAAUACGGUGAAAUCACUCCCUAGAAAUUACGUAAUUUUGAUUUAAUCUUUAGAAACUGCCUUACUUUUAUUGCAUUAUUUAAUUCAUUGACAUUAGUUUAGUAUUCAAACAUUAAUUUAACACCCAAUUGUCUAGAUAAAGUAAACGCGGACACAAUUAUAGUACUCAGUGGAAGUCGAAUAUCAAUCCCUGUGGGUUCGACACUUUUCAAUUCUUUAAUAUACUACAAAACUUGACACCGUGCGGUUGCGGUAUAAAAUCACGUUGCAUAAAUCGUGUGGCAAGUUUUUGGCGCCGUUGUCGGGGAUUGAUUCAUUCGAAUUCAAUUGAUAUUAUUACCAAUCGACGUUCAUUUUACUUUAGAUUUUUAUUUCUAUCGUAAUAUUUAAUUUAAUUUUAUUCUUUUUGUGUCUAUUUUUAAGAGCUUCCUUGUGGUUAUUUUCAGUUGUUUAUGCGAAGGGCUAGAAAUCUAGAUCUACUACCUGUUGAUCCUGAACCAGAACGCACAUUCGUAUUCUCAGAGGCAUACAAAGAAACGAAUGAGAAGCAAUGGCAGAACAAGAUGCUAGAGCAGCCAAUGAGGAUAACCAACAAAGGGCUAUUCGGGACUACAUAAGGCCGGUGGUCAAUGACAACUAUUUCGACAUCGCACUCCCAACAAUUACUGCAAACAAUUUCGAAUUGAAGCCAGGUUUGAUACAUAUGGUGCAGCAAAAUCAGUUUGGUGGUGCUGCAAUAGAAGACCCAAAUGCUCAUCUUGGAUCCUUUUUGGAAAUUUGUGACACGGUAAAGAUGAAUGGGGUUACUGAAGAUGCAAUUAGACUCCGCCUAUUCUCAUUCUCUUUAAGGGAUAAAGCAAAGGCUUGUUUCCAGUCACUACCGUAUGGCUCAAUUACAACUUGGGAUGAUUUGGCUCAGAAAUUCCUCACCAAGUACUUUCUACCUUCUAAAUAAGCUCAACUUCGUAGUGAAAUUAGCCAAUUCAAACAACUCGACUUCGAGCCAUUCUAUGAAGCCUAGGAAAGAUUUAAAAACUUGCUUAGGAGAUGUCCUCAACAUGGGUUCCAGAAAUGGGUGCAAAUUGAGAUAUUUUAUAUUGGGCUAAAUGGGCAAACAAGGACCAUGGUAGAUGUAGGUGCGGGAGGCAUUUUAAUGGCUAAAACAACAGAGGCUGCAUAUGCUUUAUUGGAUGACAUAGCCACCAAUAGUUACCAAUGGCCAAGUGAGAGAUCGGGUGUAAAGAAAGUAGCAGGACUUCAUGAAGUGGAUCCAAUCACUGCACUAGCAGCUCAGGUUGCAUCACUCACAAAUCAGAUAGUCACGCUUAAGACUUAAGGAAAUCAACAGAAGGUAGAUUUUGUCAUGAGUACUUCUUCUUCACACCAAGAGAUAGAGGUUGCAAACGAGCAGGCCCAAUAUGUCAACAGUAGAAACUACAAUCAAAGAGGAAGCUACCAAGCUAAUCACUAUCAUCCAGGGCUGAGGAAUCACGAGAACUUAUCAUAUGGCAACAAUAGAAACACACUUCAACCUCCACCCGGAUUCAACACUCAGAAUUCUGAUGGGAAACCACGCUUGGAAGACAUCCUUGGGACGUUCGUUUUUGAGACAAGAUCACGUUUCAACAAAGAUGAAUCACGGUUGGAUAAUAUUGAAACACAUGCGUCCAACAUGGGAGCCACAAUGAAGAAUCUUGAAGUGCAAAUUGGCCAAUUGGCUAUCUCAAUGAAGUCUCAGCAAAAAGGAAAAUUUCCAAGUGAUACAGAGGUCAAUCCAAAGGAGCAUUGUAAAGUUGUUGUAUUAAGGAGUGGCAAGCAAGUUGGAAAAAGUGAACUCACUGAAGAUAGCAACCCCACAUCUGAUAAGGAGAAAGAACAAGUAGUAGAAGAGCAAGAAAAGUAGGCCAAAGGAACAAAUAAGGCCCACAGACCUUACUCCAUAUCCUUCCCUGACAACCCACCAAUUCUCACACCACCACUUCCAUUUCCACAGCGUUUUCAAAAGAAAAAAUUUGAUAAUCAAUUUGCAAAAUUUUUAGAAAUUUUCAAGAAAAUUCAUAUUAAUAUUCCUUUUACAGAUGCUUUGAAACAAAUGCCAAAUUACGCAAAGUUUAUAAAGGAAGUGAUGUCAAAAAAGCAAAAAUUGGAGGAAUAUGAAACAGUAAAAUUGACAGAAGAAUGCAGCACUAUUCUUCAAAAAAAACUUCCUCAGAGGAGAAAAGAUCCGGGCAACUUCACUAUUCCAUGCACCAUUGGAAGCUCUUCCUUUGAAAAGGCCCUCUGUGAUCUAGGAGCAAGCAUCAACCUAAUGCCGUUAUCAGUAUUCAAGAAAUUAGGCCUCGGGGAGGUCAAGCCAACAACAGUGACUCUACAACUAGCUGAUAGGUCCCUCACCUACCCACGAGGGAUUAUUGAAGACGUGUUGGUAAAGGUCGACAAAUUCAUCUUCCCAGCUAAUUUUGUGGUAUUGGAUAUGGAAGAAGAUCAGGAAAUCCCACUGAUUUUAGGCAGGCCAUUUUUAGCAACUGGAAGGGCAUUAAUUGAUGUACAAGGGGGACAAUUGACAUUGAGAGUGAAUAAAGAAGAGAUGAGGUUCAACAUUUACCAAGCAAUGAAAUACUCAGAUGACAAUGACACUUGCACAUGAUUAACUUCAUUGAUUCUGCUGUGAGAGAUGAGAAAGUAUGUAUUGAAGAUCCUCUAGAGCAAUGUAUGAUGUUUAGUACAACAAAGGAUGAUAUUAGCACUUUUGGAGAGUACAUCGAGAGCAAGGAUUUGGUUGAUUACAUAUUGGCUCUUGAGUCUACAUCAGUUGUGGAAAACCCAUCACAAUGUGAGGAUAUUCAACCGUUAGAGGAAGCAGAUGACAAAGAAAGCAAUGAAAGCAGUAAGAUCGAACUGAAGCAAUUACUAGAUCACCUUCGCUAUGCAUUUCUGGGGGAUAAUUUUGCGUUUCCAGUAAUUAUUUCUUCAUCACUCACCAGAGACGAGGAGGAUAGAUUAUUGAAAGUGUAGAGGGAUCAUAAGGCCGCUUUGGGAUGGUCAAUAGCUGACAUUAAGGGGAUAAGUCCUACAAUCUGCAUGCAUAAAAUCCUCAUGGAAGAGUCUUACAAGCCGUCCAUUGAACAUCAAAGAAGGUUAAACCCAGCAAUGAAAGAAGUGGUUCGAGCGGAGAUUCUAAAGCUAUUGAAGGCAGGAAUCAUUUUUGCCAUUUCAGACAGUGAAUGGGUCAUCCCAGUGCAAGUGGUACCAAAGAAAGGAGGGAUGACAGUUGUUAAGAACGACAACAAUGAGCUAAUUCCAACAAGAACAGUAACUGGCUGGAGGGUGUGCAUUGACUACAAGAAACUAAACAAGGUAACUAGAAAGGACUAUUUCCCAUUGCUGUUCAUAGAUCAAAUGUUGGACAGAUUAGCUGGCUAUUUUUACUAUUGCUUUCUUGAUGGAUAUUCGGGCUACAACCAGAUUGCUAUAGCACCGGAAGAUCAGGAAAAGACAACCUUCACCUAUCCCUAUGGAACUUUUGCCUAUAGACGGAUGCCAUUCGGGUUAUGCAAUGCAUUGGCCACUUUUCAGAGAUGCAUGAUGGCAAUCUUUGCAAACAUGGUUGAAGACAUCAUGGAGGUAUUUAUGGAUGACUUCUCGGUGAUUGGUACUUCUUUUGAUAACUGCCUUCACAAUCUCUCAUUAGUGCUACAACGCUGUGAGGAAAGGAAUUUAGUUCUCAACUGAGAAAAGUGCCACUUCAUGGUACAAGAAGGUAUUGUGCUAGGCCACCAUGUUUUGGCGAGGGGAUUGGAAGUGGACAGAGCAAAAAUUGAUGCAAUCGAAAAGCUACCACCACCCACUAAUGUCAAAGGCAUUCAAGUUUCUUAGGGCAUGCUGGAUUUUACAGGAGACUUAUCAAAGACUUCUCAAAAGUGGCAAAACCCCUAUGUAACCUUUUGGAGAAGGGCACAACAUUCGUAUUUGAUGAAGACUGCUUACGGGCUUUUGAAACCAUAAAGGCAAAAUUAGUCACUGCCCCAAUGAUGGUAGUACCAGAUUGGGAUCAGCCAUUUGAGGUUAUGUGUGAUGCUAGUGACUAUGCAGUAGGGGUAGUUUUGGGACAAAGGCGUCAUAAGAUUUUUCGGGCAAUCCACUAUGCCAGCAAAACUCUUAGUGAGCUCAACUAAAUUACACAACAACAGAGAAGGAAAUGCUAGCAGUAGUGUUUGCAUGUGACAAAUUUAGAUCUUACCUCAUUGGCACCAAAGUUAUAAUUUACACGGACCAUGCUGCAAUCCGUUAUCUCUUUCAAAAGAAGGAUGCCAAGCCACGCCUAAUUCGAUGGAUACUGCUACUACAGGAAUUUGAUGUAGAGAUUCGGGAUAAGAAAGGCAGUGAGAAUGUCGUUGCAAACAAUCUCUCACGAUUGGAGAAUGAAAAGGUGGUGGAUGAUAGCCAAAUUCGAGAAACGUUCCCUUUUUUUUUUUAUAUCCUGGGGAGAUAAUUUGCACUAUAGCUUGCCUCGAUACCGAAUGGAAAGGAUCAGCUAGUGAUGUAACCCACUUCCCUUCAUCUGGUCUGAUACCUAACUGUAAAAUCUGGCACCACUUCAUAUCAUCCAAACUGAUACCCAGUAGCAACACCAGUGAGGUCACAAAGGAACGGACCUUACUGAAUUUUGUGAUUCAAAAAGGAUAUUUUGUUGAUAUUGGCUGAGUCAUUCAAAAUAGCAUUCUUCGCAUCCUUGCCGGGCCCGCUACAGGCAGUCUGGGUCACCCAUCUUUAAUCCAUGACCUUUGCAUACAUGGGGGUGUGUCCGUGCGCAAAACUGAUGAAGUGUUACACCCGAAACAACCACUUACACGGGACCUCCGUGAUAGGCAUGUGGGACAUCGGGAAGUGCCUAGCUCUUUUCAAUCAUCUCGUACGUUACCUCCGAUACCAUCGCCUCCACAACCUUCUGAUGCUAUGGGGGACAUCCUUCGGCGUCUUGAAGCCAGGGAUUUGCGCAUGACCCAAUGGCAGAAUGGCAUGCAAGUACAAAUAAAUCAUCUACAAUCCACCAUCUUUGACCAAUUUCAAUACCAGAACGCUUGCAUGGCGGUUAUGGCAUCUGCACAUCCCGAGUUCACCUUCCCUCCAUCGCCAUCACUUCCACCUCAUUCCCACCCACCUGCUCCACCUGAUGAAGAGGAAGACAAUUGAUGUCGUCACUGAGGUAUUACUCUUCCCCUUCUUUCAUUUUCACAUUGGGGCAAUGUGUAGUUUAAGUUUGGGAGGGUAUCUUAAUUGUCUAAAAUUGCCUUUUUUUAUUUUGUAUGAUUGGGUGCAUCUAUAAAAAAAAAAAAAUUCAUUUCGUGUUUUGCAUACUUAUGUGAGCUAGAUAGCCUUGUCGGCGAUGAUGUAUAAUAUUAAGAACAUGUAUUGGUUCAUGGAUCAUGGAUAAGUUAUAUGUGUGAGUUAGAUUUUUGUUUAUUCGUGUGAAACGGAAAUUAUUUUUGCAUGUGGGUUGAUUGUAGCGUUGUACAUGAGUAGGUUGAUUCAUGUUUAUAGGUUGAAUAAGAGAACUUGGACACUAAAUCCAAACAACCUUUAAACAUUAUUAUACCCUUAAACAAAAUAUAGGCUGUUUGGUAGGUUAAGUUGUUGCAAGGAAACUUGGAGAUAAAUGUGGAUUUUAUGUGUGCUAAAUUUUGUGUGGAUUGUCUGAGACUAACAAGAUGAAAAUUGGAUGAAAACUUUAAGUUAGAGGUCGAUUUUCGAGAAUAUGUGUUUAAUAAGGGGUAUUGCACUAAUCAUUGAAUAAAAAAGAUCCCAAUGAGGACAACUUUAAUAAUCUCAUUGUGAAUCGUCUCUUCGUAGCCUUUAUGACUUGAGUGAUUAAGCCUGUAAGGGUUUAAAACCUGGUACCCUAAAGUCGUCUGAUUUGGGAGUUAUCGGCCUAAAGCUCGUUACAAGGGUCAUUUAGAAAGCUUGAGAGAGUAACGUCCACACAAAGGGUGUUUAAAAAAAAAUUAUAUAUUACAUGCCUUGAUUAAGCCCCGAACACUUGUUUUAGAGGAUUAAACCUUUGAUGAGAGAUUAGUAACUUGGUUGAUUCUUAGAGGUUGAAGCAGUAAAAAAUAAGGAGAAUCCUCAUCUGUUGAUAAGUUGAACUGCAAUAGUGAAAUCUAACCAAACUUGAGCGGUGUAAGAAAUUAGCAUUGAAAAAAAAAAUCAACUUUAGAAUACACCUUGGAAAGACAAAAGAAAACAAGUUUGGGGGUGUGUGAAUCCCACGAGCGAAGUAAGGAAAAAUUUGACUUCUAAGGUCGGGAAUUGGGUCAACUUAUUAUUGUACAGCGUUGCACUUGACUCUCCACACACACACACACACCCGUUUUGGAUUGAAUAUGUGAGAAUUUAGCUUUUGCAUUAGAGCUUUGAAGUGAUUCAUGGAAUCGAAGUUAUGUUUUUAAUCCUCAGACAUGAAGGCAAGCUAUCUAGCAAAAUUUAUUUUAAGUGAUUUUGUUUGUCUUAGUUGUGCUUGUGUGUCCAUUAAUUAUUUUUAUUGGUUUUGGUGUUUGCUCGAGGACAAGCAAAGAACUAAGUUUGGGGGUGAUUGAUGAGUGUAAUUCACUCAUUAAACUAAAGCUUCUAAAUCACGUUUUUUGAUGUGUUCUUGGGCAUUUUGAACGUUUUGAUGUGUGUGUUCGUGUUGUUUUGCAGUUUGGACAACUCUCGAGAAAAUACAACUAUUGGAAGCCUAUAAUGAGCAAAAAUGAUGAUCAAUGGAAUGGAGCAUGAAUAAGAAAGUAUUGAAUAAGAUUGGAGUGGAAAAUAGGCUUGGAAAACAAAGAGAAGAGAAGCAAAGCAGUGGCAUUGGCACCACGGCUCCAAAAAAGGGGUGCCAUGGCGCCCAAUGAAAGCUAAACCGAAGCAGAGACCUGGGCGCCACGGUGCCAGUUACCAUGAUAAUCGAGGUGCCAUGGCGCCAUGUUUGGGCGCCGUGGAGCCAAAUCCCAAAACAUUAAAACCCGAAUUUUUAAUUAUCUUUUCGGCCCAAAAAUCAUACCCUAACCCUUGCGGACUAUGAGAAAAUAGAAAUACGAAGAUGAAGAACAAGAGAAGGGGGUUAGAUGGCUAAAGAGGCAAGAAAAAGAAAAGCACCAAUUGAGAAAAGAUCGACCCGAUUUUGGAGAAGAAGAAGGCAGAAAACUGAGAAAUCAAGAAACAAGAUUGAGAAAUAGAGCAGCAACUUAAGUUUUUUUCUAUCUUUCUCUUAUACAUGCACUCUAAUUUGUAUUUGGGCGCCGUGGAGCCAAAUCCCAAAACAUUAAAACCCGAAUUUUUAAUUAUCUUUUCGGCCCAAAAAUCAUACCCUAACCCUUGAGGACUAUGAGAAAAUAGAAAUACGAAGAUGAAGAACAAGAGAAGGGGGUUAGAUGGCUAAAGAGGCAAGAAAAAGAAAAGCACCAAUUGAGAAAAGAUCGACCCGAUUUUGGAGAAGAAGAAGGCAGAAAACUGAGAAAUCAAGAAACAAGAUUGAGAAAUAGAGCAGCAACUUAAGUUUUUUUCUAUCUUUCUCUUAUACAUGCACUCUAAUUUGUAUUUUAUUGUGUUCUUCUUCUCAAUCAUGAACUAAUCUAUUAAAUCUAAGAUUUGAUGUAACCUAUUUGAGACAUAAUUCAAUUUCCUUAUAGUAUUUCCAUUUAAUUUUCCAAAAUUGAUUUGUAUUGUUCUUGGUUAAUGCUUUCAGUUGCUUGAUCACCAAUUGAAUGAAUUGAUGCUCUAAAUUUGACGCUCGAGAGAGGGAAAUUUAGGCGUGAUCUAAGAAUAAUAUAACCUAGAUUUGUAGGUUCCGAGAGAAAGUACGAAUUUUUGAGGGUAAAAUAAGAACCAAGUGCAUGAUAAUCUUUAUAUAUUUAAUUCGGAAUAGAGAUAUUGGGGUUGAAAUAUAAAGAUAGAUUCUAUUUGACACUCGAGAGGGGGAAAUUGAAUUAAUUUAGGAUUUUUGCCUAUGAAUUCGGGAAAUAGUUGAUGGAAAUAUCUAUAGGGAUUGAGAAUUAUGUCGAGAAUACGGUGAAAUCACUCCCUAGACAUUACGUAAUUUUGAUAUAAUCUUUAGAAAUUGCUUCACUUUUAUUGCAUUAUUUAAUUCAUUGACAUUAGUUUAAUAUUCAAGCAUUAAUUUAACACCCGAUUGUCUGGAUAAAGUAAACGCAAACACAAUUAUAGUACUCAGUGGAAGUCGAAUACCAAUUCUUGUGGGUUCGACACUUUUCAAUUCUUUAAUAUACUACAAAACUUGACACCGUGCGGUUGCGGUAUAAAAUCACGUUGCAUAAAUCGCAUGGCAGAUAGCUUAUCGUAUAUGCAGCCUACCGUAUUUGCAAGCAACUUGCCGUAUUUGCACCUUACCAUAUUUGCAGCUUACCGUAUAUACUGUCUACUGUAUUUGCAGAAAACUCACCGUAUUUGCACAAAAAUUUCACAAACUGUUUUUAUUCCAUUUCAUAUACAGUGAGUGAUUUGCACAUAUUUGCUAGAUACCGUAUAUACAACUAACAUACCGGAUAUGCACUUACAUACACGAAAAUGUAAAAAUACCGUAUUUGCAUAUAUUAUCUAAAUAAAUACCGGUUGGACAAAUACCAAACCUAAUGUUAUUAAAUUGAUUUAUUAUCUUCAGAUUUUUUUCGACAUACAGAUAAUAAAAUGUAAAAUUAUAUGAAACACAUAUAAUAAAAUAAACUGGAAAAUCUACGAAACAUAAAAUUAAACUGCAAAUAUGUAAAUCGCUAAAUAAAUAAAUAUGUGAAUUGCAGAAAAUAAAUAAAUCUUUAACUCGAGGCCUGUGCUAACACAAUUUCCUUAAAACAGAUUCGUCCCCUCACCAUAAGUGUUUGAGGUCUAAUCCGAGCUUCUGUUCCAUAGGAUACAAUGGUAAAACCCGUAAAAUCUGAGUAUCGCAGAAACUACUCCAACGAACUGAUUUAGCGUCUGAACAAUAUCACCAUCACAACUUUGGACAGAAACUGAGAUUACGUAUACAGACUAAAAAAAUUAUGCAGUAUGCAGACUAUAUUUGUGUGUGCAGACACAAUUUCUUUUUUUCUCUUGUAUUUUCGAGUAUGCUGGAAUUGUCGAAAAAAUUAUGAGAUUUAAUAUAUAAAAUAAAUCAGCCAUUAACUCUGGCAAUAAACAUUGGAGUCACUUCAAUUUCUGCCGGAGUUUUGACAAUUUUCGAAAAUUCAAAGAUCAGUUGGAGAAAGCAAAAAAUUGCAAAACGUAGACACUCCAACGGGCCAAUUUUUGCUCCAGUCGGUCCAACAUUCAUAUACGCAGGUCGCGCUCGCACACAAGUUCAAGGUCCGAAGGAAAUUUCGGUCCAUGAUUUGCACCCCCUGUGCGCGCACAUGAAGAGAGUCUCUAUGCUAUACAUAAUUACACCAUUCCAAUGUACAACCAUAUUUAAAGUGGUUCUUGCUUUCAUAUUUUUCCUAUGUGGGACUAAUGCAAUUUCUCGCUUAAACCAUCUUUCAAUGGUUAUCUUUGAGGUCCAAUUUCUCAUUCAACCGAACUUCAUUUUUGGAAAGUAAAUAUAUGAUUUUGAUGCUCUCACAGAGGAGAACACGGAUCAACUUUGAUCUUCCAAAUUGGACCAACGGGUCCCACCAAAAAUAUUGCCAAAAGUGAACUAUUUACUCAUUUUUUCCAACAAUCCCCCAAAUAAAUGAAAAUUGGAAGAGACACGAGACCAUGAGAUACAAGACGUGAUUAUAAAGUUCAACGGUUGAAGCCUGCAUAUGAUAGGUAGGUAUUACCCUUUGAACCUUCUCUUAUGAAAGCGUAUUUACUUUUCUAGCUAAUCAGUAGACGUGUUGUCCUUGAACUGUUCUGUCAUUUAUGUAAACGAUGAUAUACUCCACACAAGAUUCUUCCUAACACAAUUCAGUUCUCAUUAUUAUGUUCGUUUUGGCCAUGAACAUAUGACUGUUUUUGUGAGAGUUCUUAAAAACUGAGCCCCACACAAUUCUCUUAGAAGUAGCCCCACUUCUUUCUCAUAAAAGUGAUUUCUUAUUACAAGUAACCCGCAUUACUUGGCUCGAACUCUGAUGCAUAAGAAUCAUUAAAAUCCUAUUACUUAUCCUUCAUCCUUAUGGGCAUCACUGUUACAUCAUAGGAAUGGACAGGAGGAAACACCCCCACAGUGCUUUUAUUAAGCCUUUACAAUUAGGUUAUUCAUUCAAAGGCUUAAGUCUCAUUCAUCGAUGAUUUUCGAACUAACUUUCUAUUUAACCUUUGGGUUAGCGGGUCCACAAUGUUAUCUUUUGACCUUACAUAGUCAAUAGUGAUCACUCCGAUUGAGAGUAGUUGUCUUAUGGUAUUGUGUCUACGACGUAUAUGUCUAGACUUACCAUUAUACAUGUUACUCCGUACCCUUCCUAUUGCUGAUUGACUGCCAUAAUAUAUGUAAAUCGCUGUCACAGGCUUUGAUCAUCUUGGAAUAUCCUCUAAGAAAUUGCGCAAUCAUUCGACCUCUUCACCAUAUUUAUCUAGAGCUAUAAACUCAGAUUUCAUUAUAGAUAUGGCUAUAAUUGUUUGCUUAGAGGAUUUUCACGAUAUGGCAGCACCUCUUAAUGUGAACACAAAUCUACUGGUGGACUUUGAGUCUUUUAUAUUAGAUAUCCAAUUAACAUCACUGUAUCCUUCAACGACCGUUGGAUAUUUGGUAUAAUGUAGUCCAUAGUCACGAGUACAUCUUUAGUACCUUAGUACUCUUACUGUUCCUUUCAAGUGAUCAGCUCCUGGAUUACUCGUAUAUCUACUCAAUUUACUGACUGCGUAGGCUAUGUCUGGUCUUGUACAACUCAUUAAGUACAUUAGACUUCCAAUAACUCUCGGGUAUUUUACUUGAGAGACACUUUCAUAUUUGUUUUUAGAUAGAUGUUAACUUGUAUCUAUCGGUGUUCUAGCUAAGUCAGUAUCAUUCUUAUUGAACUUUUUCAAAAUUUUGUCUACAUAAUGUGACUGACUUAGAACCAACCCAUCUGAUAUUCUUGAGAUUUUGGCUCCAAGUAUAACAUCAGCUAAACCCAUAUCUUUCAUGUUAAAUCUCGAAUUCAACAUAUUUUUAGUGGAUUCAAUCAUCUUAUUAUCACUACCAACAAUAAGCAUGUCGUCAUCGUAAAGAUAUAAAAUAACAUAACCAUCUUUAGUAUCUUUGAAGUAAACACAUUUGUCACACUCAUUGAUUUUAAAUCCACUCUCUAUCAUGAUAUUAUCAAAAUUUUCAUGACAUUGUUUGUGUGCUUAUUUCAAGCCAUAUAGUGAUUUUACAAACUUACAAACUUCCUUUUCCUGCCCUGGUGACGAAAACCGCUCGGAUUGUUUCAUAUAGAUUUCUUCUUCUAAAUCUCCAUUUAAAAAGGUAGUUUUCACACCCAUUUGAUGUACUUCAAGAUUUUCAAAGCGGCAAUCGCAAGUAUCAACCUAAUAGAUGUUAUUCUCUUCACUGGAGAAUACGUAUCAGAGUAAUCAAAGCAUUCUUUUUGUUUGUAACAUUUUAUUACUAAUUCGGCCUUGUACUUUUCGAUAGUUCCAUUUGUUCUCAUUUUCCUUUUGAUAAUCCAUUUAUAGCCUAGUAGUUUGCUUUCUGGAGGAAGAUCCACUAGCUCCCAUGUAUGAUUUUGUAGUAUGGAAUCUAUUUGACUUUUAAUGGCCUCCUUCCAUUGAGGUCCUUCCGAGGAAUUCACAGCCUCUUAAUAACUUUGAGUUUCACUUUCUAACAUAUAAGUCAGAAAAUCAGGACCAUACGAUUUUCUGCCAUUACUUGUUUGCUAUGUCUAACCUCAGUCUCCUCUUCUAGUUCGUCGUCAUGACUAUAUUCAGUUAUAAUCUCAUAUGUUCGUUUAGAGGAGUUUGCUUCCUGUUUGGACUUGUAUAGAAAUACCUGUUCAAAGAAUGAAAUAUUUAUUGAUUCUAAUAUCGUGUUUUUAUGUAUGUCUGGGAUUUUAGAAUCGUACACAAGAAAUCGAUAAGUAGUACUAUUAUGUGCAUAGCCAAUGAAGAUGCAAUCUACUAUUUUUGGCCCUAUCCUUACCUUCUUUGGUGUUGGAACGGCCACUCUAGUAAGAGACCCCCACAUUCGUAAGUAUUUAUAGGAAGACUUUCUUCCUUUCCAUAACUCAUAAGGGGUAUUUUCCAUUUUCUUUCGGGGCACCUUAUUUAAAAGGUAAUUUGCUGAUAACACAGCUUCCCCCCACAUAUUUUGAGGAAACCCAAAACUUACAAGCAUUCAUCAUUUUUUUAAAGUACGAUUUUUCCGUUCAGAAACACCGUUUUGUUACAGUGAAUAAGGUACGACAGUUUCAUGUAUGAUUCCGUGUUGUGCACAGAAUUCCACAAUUGAUGAUUCAUACUCACCAUCUCAAUCGCUUCUUAACACCUUAAUUUUCCUAUUAAGUUGAGUUUCAACUUCAUUCUUAUAGAGAACAAAUUUCUCUAUAACUUCAUCUUUACUUUUUAGUAAAUACACAUAACAGUAUUUGGUACUAUUAUCGACAAAGUAAUGAAAUACUUGUUGCCACAUUUUGUUUGUAUAAGUUUCAAGUCAUAUACGUCAUUGUGAAUUAAAUCAAGUGGUUCUGUGUUCCCUUCAAUUGAUUUAAACGACGACCUUGUCAAUCUUAUCUCAGCAUAAGUUUCACACUUAUGUUUUGAAUUAAUGUGGAACUCGGGUAUGCAAUUCAAGUAAACUAGUUUUAGUAAAGUAUCAUAGUUAAUAUGUCCUAGUUUACCAUGCCACAAAUUGGAAGACUCAAACAAAUAAGCAGAAGAGUUUGCUUUAUUUAUUUUUGGUUUAACAACCAUUACAUUGAGUUUAAACAUACCGUCGGAAACAUAUUAUUUCCGGACAAACAUUCCAAUUUUUGACAAAAUAAUCUUGUCUGACUCAAAUAAAAUGCGAAAGCAAUGCUUAUUCAAAGACGACCUGAACACUAGGUUCUUGCGAAUUUCUAGCACAUAUAGCACAUUGUUGAGAGUCGGCUCUUUUCCUGAGGUCAUUUUCAGAACCACCUUUCCUUGUCCCUUGAUUUCAGAAGUUGCUGAAUUUCCCAUGAACAAUUUAUCCCUAUUCUCAAUUGCUUCAAACGCAUCAAAUAGCUCCUUAUCAGAGUACACGUGCCUCGUAGUACCGGUGUUAAUACACCAUUCCUUAGGGUUUGAACCCACCAUGUUCACUUCAGAAAUGACACAUCUUGUGCCAUGUAGUGAACUAUACUUGCUUCUUUUUUCUUCUUUAGCAAUCUGCACUACGAAAACUUGUGGCCCACUUUGUCAAAAUUGAAGCAUUUUCCUUAAAAUUUAUUCUUAGAAAUUUGAUCUUUCAAUCCUUGCUUGGUCCUUUUACCACCGUUUGGCCCAAACUUGUUUUUGUAGUUCUUACUACGUUGACCAAGCUCCACAACAUUGGCUUUAGCCAUACCAGGAUUGAACCAUUUCUUUUCAAAACUCUUGUUGUCUUCUUCAAUUCGAAAUCUAACAAUUAGUUCUUUGACGUUCAUUUCCUUUCAUUUGUGCUUCAAAUAAUUCUUGAAAUAUUUCCAUGCGGGGGGCAAUUUCUCAAUAAUUGCAACCACUUGAAAAGCUUCACUCAAGAUCAUCCCUUCGGCAUGAAUUUCGUGAAAAAUCACUUGGAGUUCUUGCACUUAACUGAUAACUGUUUUGGAGUCCACCAUUUUAUAAUCUAAGAAUCUGUCAACAAUGAACUUUUUGGCUCCUACAUCCUCAAUUUUAUAUUUUCGGUCCAAUGGCUCCCACAACUCUUUAGCAAUUUUCAUAUUGCUAUACACAUUGUACAUCGUGUCUGCUAAACAGUUCAUAAUAUAGUUUCGGCACAAAAAAUUCGAAUGGUUCUAAGCAUCAAGUGCAUUGAUUGUUUAAACAUCUCUCUUACCCUCAUUGAGUUUUGGAGUAGUCUUAGUCAAAAAUCUUGCAAGAUUCAAAGUGGUCAGAUAAAAUAGCAUUUUCUGCUGUUACCUUUUGAAAUUCAAGCCAUUGAAUUUUUUCAAUUUUUUUCCAUGAUUAACCGAAACAUUAAUGGUAUGGCCAGUUGUUGGAGUCACAGUUUGACUCACAACAUGACUUGACAAUUUAGCCACAGUCCGAACCACAAUAGAGCUUGGCCCUUGAGCCACAACUGAGCCCAUAGCCUAAUUUUCAGUAGCACAGUUUGGGUCACAUCCAUGUUGGUCGAUUCGGUUGCCAUUUUUGAAAAUCAAACAAAAAAAUUAGUCUCCAUAAAUUAAUAGUAUAAGAAACUAAUUUUUUUCUUUAUGAAUCUGUUUUAAGUUUGUUGGAAAUAUAGAGGUGGUAAUGAAACCGGAUUAUCACAUACCGUAUGUGUAGUUUAGAUAUCAAUUUUAACCAUACCGUAUAUGCCGCUUACCGUAUAUGCAGCUUACCGUAUUUGCACCUUACCGUAUAUGCAGCUUACCGUAUUUGCAGAAAGCUCACCGUAGUUGUACAAAAUUUUCAUAAACUGUUUUUAUUCCAUUUCAUAUACAGUGAGUGAUUUACACAUAUUUGCUAGAUACCGUAUAUGCAACUAACAUAUCGGAUAUGCAUUUACAUACACCAAAAUGUUGAAAUAUCGUAUUUGCAUAUAUUAGCUAAAUAAAUACCGGUUGGACAAGUACCAAAUCGAAUGUUAUUAAAUUAAUUAAUUUUCUUCAGAUUUUUUUUCGACAUACAGAUAAUAAAAUGUAAAAUUAUAUGAAGCACAUAUAACAAAAUAAACUGAAAAAUCUACGAAACAUAAGAUUAAACUGUAAAUAUGUAAAUAGCUAAAUAAAUAAAUAUGUGAAUUGUAGAAAAUAAAUAAAUCUUCAACCCAAGGCCUGUGCAAACACAUUUUCUUAAAACAAAUCUGUCUCCUCACCGUAAAUGAUUAAGGUCUAAUCCGAGCGUCUGUUUCCUAGAAUACAACGGUAAUAUCCGUAGAAUCUGAGCAUCGCAAAAACUACUCCGGCGAACUGAUUUAGCUUCUGAACAAUAUCAACCCACGACUUUGGACAAAAACUGAGAUUACAUAUACAGAGAGAAAAACUAUGCAGUAUGCAGACUAUAUUUGUGUGUGUAGACACAAUUUCUUUUAUCUCCUAUAUUUUCGAGUAUGCUGGAAUUGCCGAAAGAAUUAUCAAAUUUAAUAUAUAAAAUAAAUCUGUCAUCUGCCAUUAAUUAGGGUUGGAGAUGGUUCAGUUCGGUUCGGUUCCCUUAAGAACCGAAUUGGACCCGAAAUUUUUGGGUACUUAGUAAUUGGAAUCGUCAGGUCCAAAUAUAAUUAUGAAAUCGUUCGGGUUCGGUUCGGUUCGGUUCUGUUCGGUUUAGUACCAUAAUUACAUUUUUUAACAUUUACAACACCACAUAAAUACAACUAAUAACAUGUUGAAUUAUAGCUUUUACAAAUUAACGAAGUCCCAUUAAAAAAUAUAUAAAUAACAAGUUGUCCAAUAACAUUAAUUUACCAAUGUAUACAUAUACCAAAAAGUAGAUACUAGUACUAAAAAAGAUGUAGGACCAUAUGUAGUGUACUAUGUAGUUUAUUUAGGGUUGGAUACUUGGAUUUAGUGGGUUAGACAUUAGAGAUUUAGAGGUGGGCUAAAAAUGGAAGAAUAAAAUGGGCUUGAAUGCUUGAUGUUGGGUUAAAAAAAAAUUAAAAAUGAAACAAUUAAUUGGGCCAAAAAAUUAGAUUUAGAAAAAAUUAAAAUAAUUUGAUUUAUUCAAUAUAAAAAAAAAAUAAAAAAAUAAGGAAAAUUCGGUUCUUAUUCAGUUUUUCGGUUCUUGGUUUAGAACCGAACCGUACUCGUCGGUUCUUGAUUCAGAUACCAAUUCGGGUAUUUAAUCUAAGAAGAACCAUUGGGUUCGGUUUAGUUCGAUUCGGGUUCGGUCGGUUUGGUUCGGGAGUUUUGUCCAGCCCUACCGUUAACUCUGGCAAUAAACAUUGGAGCCACUUCAGUUUCUGCUAGAGUUUUAGUAGUUUUCGAUAACUCAAAGAUUAGUUGAAGAAAGCAAAAAAUUGUAAAACGUGGACACUUCAAACGAGCUAAUUUUUGCUCCGUUCAGUCCAAAAUUCGUGUACCCAGGUCGUGUUCACACACAAGUUCAAGGUCCGAAGGCAAUUUCGGUUCGUUAUUUGCACACCCUGAGCACACACGUGGAGAGAACCUCUAUGCUACACAUGAUUACACAUUUUCAAUGUGCAACCAUAUUUAAAGUGGUUCUUGCUUUCAUAUUUUUCCUAUGUGGGACUAAUGCAAUUUUCCCACUUAAACAAUCUUUCAAUAGUCAUCUUUGAGCUCCAAUUUUUCAUUCAUUCAAGCUUCAUUUUUUACAAGUAAAUAUAUGAAUUUGAUACUCUCAUAGAGUAGAACACGGAUUAACUUUGAUAUUCCAAAUUGGAUCAACGAAUCCCACCGAAAAUAUUGCCAAAGUGAGCUAUUUACUCAUUUUUUCCAACAAAGAAUUCUUGAAUAAUUGAAUUAAAAAGCAUGCUUAUGAAGUAUGAACUUCAGAGCAUUUUCUGUAAUAAAGGCCUUCUGAUAAUGUAAUAAAUCAGUACUACCGAGGGUUAUUUUUACUUUUGUUUUCAUUUUUCAGUUAACUUCAACAAAAGAUUGUUAACUAAAGGUGUAGAGAAUAUAACGUGUAAAAAUUUAAGAUCGAGCCAAUUAAUAUACUAAAAAAAUAAAUAUAUAAUAAAUCAGUGGUUUGAAAAAGAAAUUUAAUUUUUUGGAUAAUAAUUAAAGACAAAGUAGAACCAAUUUUCAUGUUGUUAUUUAUUGAGUUAAUUACUUGUUUCCAACGAAAACUUCUCGGAUAGUCGACAUCUUCACCAAGCCUCUUACACCUCUUUCCUUUCAUGAUUUUCACAAUUUGUUAGGCGGGCAUUAUGUAACACUUGUUUUAGGAUCAUCCUAUAGCACUUGUUAAGAAUCAGAUUCGAAAUUAGAGGUUUUGGUUGAAAAGUUAACCCUAUAAUACGAAACUACAAAAUUCAAUAUAGUAUCAAAAUGCAAUGAACUCAAAUGAGAAAAUCGAUCUGUCUAAAACUCAAUUGAGCAAUUGAAUUCCAAAAUUUGUGUUCUAUAAGAGUCACCAUUUCGUAAGAGUACGCUAAGUGUAAAUCAUGUUGAAAAUGGGUUAGUAGAAGUUUAUUUUGACCAACUUUGAUCAAUUAUUAAGAAGGCGAACUUUAAAAUCCACCUACAGAAACUUUACGCCCAAUCAUUCCGGAUAAAACUUGUGUGUUUUAGUAGUAACAUAUUGUUCCAUGGGGUUAAGGUCCAAAAUAUGGAAGAAAUUUUAUAUAAAAAAUGAGAAAUUAAUAUGAAAAAAUGAGCCACUUAAAACAUAAAAGUGCUCAAAAUUGAAAUUAAAUAAUGCUAGAAUAUUCUAUCAAUCCUGACGCAACUUGUUACCGCAUAAUAUAGAAACUAUUUUAAGAUGUGUUUGAUUAAAUAUAUUUUCCAUGGAAAAUAUCAGUUUUUUACCCAAAUUUCUACUUUCGGUGUUUGAUUGUUAUUUUUUUUCCAUUAAAAGUAUUUUCCAACUUUUGAAAAUAUGCCUAAUUUUCCUUGAUUUUUAAGGAAAAUAUUUUCUUUUGGAUGAGGUGGUUUUGUUUUCCUCAAAGCAAGGAAAAGAUUUUCUUUUCUAGGUGAUAUUAUUCAUUCCAAUGAAACAUACUCUUAGUUCAAAAGUUCUCUAUGAAUUUAGACAUACAUGCCUUCUAAUCGAGCAAGAUUCAUAAGCGUACGUGAUCUUUGACAAGUAAUACAUGAUGAGCUACGAGCGUUGUCCCACAAAGAAUAAAUUCUAAUAUUAGUGUAUUAGUUUUCUAUAAAAUUCGAAUAGUAGUAAUACAAAAGAGAUUUUGGUGAAAUUAUUCUAAAAAAUAUGUAAAUGCGUUGAUUGUAUAGAGGAAUGAAUAUGAUUGUAUUGAAUUUACAAAUCCACAUACUGUUAUCUAUUUCAAUUCUCAACUAUGUAAUUUAAUUUCAUUCAUUCAUUCAUGACAAUCAAAAAUCCUAUGGAAUUUAACGUUCUUUUUAAAGAUAAAUCAAGCCUAUUCUAGACACGAUCCGAUUAUAUUCCUAAUUUAAAUUCAUAUGAAUAGAAUGUAUUCCACAAAGAUUGCACAGUUAUAUAUAUUAUUCCUAAUAUCUAUUGUGCAUAUGCAAAUCAUACAAUGUUCUACUUAUUGUAAGUCUUUUAGCACUAUAGCAAGCAACUAAUUAUCUGAAUGACGGUUAAUUAAUUAAAUGAGAAUACAAGAUUAAUUAAGAAAUGCAAGAGUUAACUAAACUACUUAUUUUGAAUUAAAAUAAAUAAGCAAAAGGAUUGAUUGAUAAGUAUAUUGACACGCUUAUUUAUGAUUGUAAUCUUGAUAAAUUUUGAUUUAUUUUAGUGAAUUUCUACCUAAUUAAGUAAAAUUAUGUGAUUUGUAAGAAAUGUUCAAGGUUGAGCGUAGUUGAAUGCAAAAGUGUGCAAAUGUACUGAUUUUGAGUUUAACUAGAGAUAAAUUCGAGGUCCUGAAGAUCAUUCAGGUUUGCAAUCAAUCAAUUGGAAGAAGUUACUGUAGUAAUUGGAUGAAUUCAUGAUAAUAAGCACAAAAUAGAAGUGUUGGAAAGUUGGAGGACUAAACUGCAAAUAGUAGAAAUCUGCCCACGGUGACCUGUAUGCCAUGGGUAGGCCGCGUUGCUGUCGGUCCGUUACGUUAUUUUUUGUGAUUUUUAAUUUUAAUAUUUUUAUUUUCUGUUGUUAUUUUCGAGUUUAUAUUUUAUGUGGACUCUUAUAUGAGGUGUAAUACCAUAUAAAGAUUUGAAUUAGAUGAGAAACGGGUUCCACAACUCAAGAAUUAGAUACAAACACAUUGAAAAAAAAAAAAAAUAAAUAAAAUAAAAUAAGAAGAAAAAGAAGAAGAAGAAGCAAUAAAUCAAGCUAUCAAGAGUAGUGUUUGAAGCAUUGAUUCGGGGAAGAAGAAGAUCUCAGUAUAAGAUUCAUCUGCUUUUCUACAUCUUCAGUCAAAACCUGGUGAUGUAUUCCAUAAUAAUUCUUUAUUUUUCUUCGUUGAAAAUGAGUGGCUAAACUUUUUGUUAGGACAAAUAAUAGAGUUUAUUGAGACACUUUAAUUCAAUUUUUAAGAUUUAAGUUUUCAAUUUCAUAUGUGUUGAUUUUAUUUAUAUUGUUUAAUGUUUGAAUUACUUUGCCAAUAAUUCAAUGAUUUUGUGAAUUUAUAGCGAGUUGAUAGAUACGUUAUAGGUUUAGACCAAAUAGUAAAAUUUGGGGACAAGUAUAAAGGCAUAGAGAUACAUUUUUUCCUGAAUGUGAUCGUUACAUAUAUUCUUAUAAAUUUAAUGCAUUUAACUAAGAUAUAUAUCCUUAUUCACAUAGAUAUAUAAAACUGAAUUGAAUAAAAAGAAUCACUUUGAACUUGAGAGUGGUAAAUUUACUACAUUAAAAGAAUUCAACCGAACAUGACAUUUACUUAAGAAUCUUGAUUAUAAUAUUAAAGGUGAUUGAUAAAUGAAAUUGUGUACCCUAAUAUCUCCUUCAUAUUAAUAAAAAUAUACUCGAUCUUUGUGUACAUUAUGAUACAUUCAAACGGUUAGUAUUUGUUCGUGCGAAACCUGCAAGCGUACGGAAUCAUUGACAAGUAAUAAAUUUAGUGAAUUGAGAGUAUCGUCCUACGAAAAAUAAAAUGUAAUUGAGUGUAUUAGUCCUUAAUUAGAUUCAAAGUAAACAAAUAAAAGUGAUUUGUGAUUUUUAAUUAAUCUAACUUAAUUUACGAAAGCUUGUAAAAUUGUGAAUUUAAUAUGUAUAUGGAAAUAGUGUAUUGGAUUACAAAUCCACUUAUUAUUAUUUAUUCUAAUUAUUGACUACGUAACUAGUUUCGUUCAUUAUUCUUGAUAAUCAAUAAUUCUAUUGUAUUUAAUUUUUUUUCAAGACAAAUUAAAUCUAUCAUAUUCACGAUUCGAAUCUAUUCCUAGUUCGAAUUCAAAUGAAUAGAACGCGUUCAAUUUCAAAUUUAUCUCAAAAAUUACACACGUGAUAAAUCUUAUUCCUAAAAUUUAUUGCACAUAUGUUAAUGAAGCAGUGUUCUAAACCUAUUGUGAACCUCUCAGUACUACAACAAGCAAGCAUUUAUUUAAUUGGUAAACAAGCAAUCAAAUAAUAAAAUUAAACAUGAAAGAUUAUCAAGAAUUUGCAAGAAUUCAAUUAAGCCAUUUGUCUUGAAUUAAAAAUAAAUAAUAAAGGGUUUCAUCUUCAUCUAAUACAUGAGAGGGAUUACCCUAACAUAAUGUUGGAAUUAAAUACAUAAAAGUGGAACGAAAUCACCGAAAUUUGAUGGAACGUGAUUAAUAUCCAAAUUAAAGCUACCGUAUUUUUCCCAAUAGUUGGCCACUAAUUGUGUUCUGUCGUCCUAAUUCCAACUGGCAGCCGGUAUUUAUGCGUAUCUAUUAUUCUCCAAUUCCCAGUCGAGUACAAGUAGAUGUAUAUGUUCCUAAUUGCUGUGUUUAAUGUAUGGCUAAUUAUAUUACCACUAAAAAUUUUAAUUACUAUACCACAUUAUAAGUACAUCACAAUUAAAAUAUAUUUUUAAUAAAUACACCAUAAUUAAUUUACAAUUAUACUCCUAAUUCAAUAAAAAUUGAAAAUUGAAAAUUGAAAAGGAACAUAAUAUAAUAUUGUGGUGUACUUAUCAACAAUAUUAAUUCUCAUUUUUUCAACAUUUUCCAUCAUUUAUUUCAUAGCAAUUGAAAACAGAAGAUCAGUGAAGAACACCAUGCCAUAAUAAAUUCAAUGUUUGUCACAAAUAAUUAAUAUGUUCGAAAGGAUUUUUUGAAGUUGUCAAUAAUUUGUUUGUAUUACCAUUUUUAUUUGAAAUAUGAAUUUUUAAUGUAUCCGCAAUUUCAUUUCUUAAUCUUGGAAGUCUAUUUUAGAAACACUUUUAAGUGGAAAUUAAGAUAUUUUAUCGACAACAACCUUAUAAUUUCAUGGAUAAAGAGGUUUUAAUAAUUCAUCGGACACAUUUAAAACCCAACUUGAGGAAGCAUUUAUGACAUAUUUUUGAUAAACUAGACAUGUUUCAGAAUUGAAUUAAUAGACAUAAAUUUAAUAUUUGAUUUAUUCAUACUUAGUCAGUAGUAAAGUAUUGUAUAUAAUUAUAUAUAUUGAAGUUGUCAUCAUUUUCCUAACAUUUAGGACAAAUAAAUUGAAUUAUGAUAAGUUAUAAAAAAAAAUUAAAUUUAUUACGAUCCUGUAAAAAAUACAAAAUAACGAUACAAACUUCUUGUUGAUUAAGAACAACUUUCGAAAAUUCAUAUUCCUCAUAGACAAAAAUCCAUGAAAACUGAAGCACCUACAUAUACACAAAUUCAUUUACGGAUUAUCUAUAUACAUGCAAAUUUGCAAUUCAUGGUGAUGAGUGGUGCAGCAUGUGUAUGUCUCACAUGAUGAACGCACGCAAUUCAUGAAAUUAUGGUGAGUAUAUAUACGCGUAAAUUAAUAAACCCAUUUAACAAUUCAAAAUCGUAAUCUUACAUAUUUGUUUUAGAUUCAUAACAAAUCUGCUUAACUUAAACAAAAAAAAAAUUAUAUUUUUAAUUUUCAAACUUGAAAAAUAAAUUCAUUUACCGUGAGGGAAAAGAUUAUCUUGUCGUCGUGGAAAAAGGCAAAAUCCGUAAGAAAAACUAUGAACAAUGAGAUGCUGAGGAAAAUGAAAGAACGAAAUUAGGCUUUAUAUUUGUGAUGUAACAAUAAUUUAUUUAUUUUAAAAGUAUAUUAAAAUUCUAAUUAUGUAAUUUUACUUAAGGAUAUUUUAGUAAAUAAGAAAAUUGUGGUGCACUUAGUAAAAUAUGUAGUGGUAAUAUAAUUAUACUUAAAUGUAUUUGACUUCCUAAUUACCCUUUUCUCCAAUGUUGCUACGUGCUAUAUAUAAUAUUAUUGUGGAAAUUACACCAGAUGUCAACUUUUGGCUUUUCAUUUAGCAAAAUGUCACUUUUUAAAAUAUUUACAAGAUUGUCAAUUUUUGACAUUACUGCCACUCUAAAUAAUUCAAAUACUCUUCAUGUCCUUCAUUAAAUAUAGAUUUGACUAAAUAAAAAAUAGUAUAUAAAUUUUUAAAACAUCACAUUUCUCAUCUCACUAUUCAACUGUAGACAAACUAUCUUCUAGUUAAUGAAAAAAUUGAUGGAGAUUUUCAUUUCCUCUCCCGACCGACUCUAGCUCGUCCCUCCUCUAGCUUCUCGUCUCUCUACUCCAUCUGGACCGGCGACAACGAUGGUCAAGCCCUUUGAUAGUUAGACUGCUUUUCUUCUUCUUCUUUUUUCUUCACUCUUUCACAAAUCAAAACGUGCCGGCCCUUUUUUUCAACCCUAACCGUGUUGUCGCUGUGCCAAGUCCGCCAUCUGUGUGAUAGUAUCUCACUCGCAUCUUCGGCCAGCCACCUACUCCAAGUAAAGGAAAAGUGAAUAUUGUUUGUCUAGCCCUCCAACUUUCUUUAAAUCUACAAAAUCAAAAGGAAAAGGCAAAAAGGGUGAGUCCAAAUUGGGUUUUUGUUCAUGUGUGAUAUUUUAACUUUUUAGAUAAUUGAUUUUAGCUUUUCUGUGAGUUUCUUAAGAUAUUGAAAUAUUCAUGGGCUUCUAAUUGCCUGUACGUGCUUUUGUUUUUCAAAUUUUGAUUUGUUUCUGGAUUUUUAGAUGUGCACAUUUUGCGAUAUAUGAUGGCCAUGGAGGUCGGUUAGCUGCAGAGUACGCUUAGAAGCAUCUUAAUGUUAAUGUUCUUUCAACGAGCUUAUCAUGUGAGCUGGUCUAUUUGUUUGAGAAUUUAGUGUUGUAAUUAUUGAUCGAAUUUUUAUUUUAGAAAACUGCUAUAUUUUACAUUCCAUAAUGGGUAACCGCAGUAGUAUAUUUUGGAAGCCGUUAUUGUUCCCAAUUGUCGAGAAUUACAUAGAUCAUCUGUCGAGAACGAUAUAUGAACUAUCAAGACAUGAUGUUGGUGUUUUGCUUGUGAAUUGUCGUCUCAUGAAAAUCAAUUUUUCAUUACAACAAACUGUCAGUCGAAGCUAAUGGAACCAUAAUGAUCGGCUAAGUUUAUAAUGAAAAUAAUGUACCCAUCCCGUUUGCGCUAAUGGAUCAGUACUUUGCUUGCAAAACAUGAUGACCAAUUUUUUUAUUGGCAUAUGAUAAUACCAACAAAUUAAUAACAUAAGUUCAGAUUGUACACUGCAUAGGGGGAAUAUUUUCGGGAUUAUAUUUGACAAUCACUUUUACCAUCAAUUUAAGUCUUCAUCGUCUCGUAUUUCGACUGAAGGUAUAUUCAAGUUAGGGACUUUGAACUUCAAUUCAAUUUGAGUGCAGGGAUCAAGAAUACCAAGUUUGUUCUUCAAUCUUAACAAAAGUUCGACUACGGUAAUAUUUUCGGCACCAGAAUGCAAGUAGCUUUUUCCCUCUCCACUUCCAUUCGUCAUCCGUAGGAACAAACUUUUCCCCAUGCAACACGAUGAAUCUUCAAUAAUUACUCAUACCUGAAAUGUUGUGAUUGCAACGGUAAGAAUUUAGAAUCAAUAUGUUGGCAUUUAAUAGCAUGAAAGUGGCACUGCAUAAUAAGCAAAUCCGUACAAUAUCAAAAGGUCAAAUCAAGGGUUUCCAUCAUUUUGAAGUGUCCAAAUUGACAGUAAAACUAUAUAUCGUAACAGUUUGUAAAUGUUGGAUUAGAGGUUCGACAUUUCAAAUGUCUAACCCGACGAUUUGUAAAUGUCAAAUUUGACAAUUGUACUGUCGAAAAUGUCGAGAAGCAGAUGACAGUAGGUGGAACUCAGGCUUCUUCAGCACAGUACACUAAGUGUGGUCAUUACUAUUGAGCUACCAUAUCACAAAAUGAAAAUGUCAGAUUGGCCUUAACAUUAAAGAGACAUUUAAUGAAGACAGUGUUUAGUUUGAAUGAAAGAAAUUAUUCAAAACAUUAAUAGUGAUAAUGACAUUUUUCGAAGGACUCCAAAAUCAAACAAAUCAAUGCAUGAUAGUUUCAAAAAUUUCAAAUAAAUAUGCUCAUAUUGUAUUUAACAUUUACAAAACAAAAAGCUAUAAAAGUAAAAUAUAAAUAAUUUGCAUUUGCCGACCUCUCAAAACGGAUGAAGAAUGUAGCAGAAAUGUUUUCUUGAUCAAUGAAAAUGAAGAAGAUGGAGAAAAGUUAGGGUUUGUAGUUUAUGUUUCAUUUUUAAAUUUCUUUUACCAUUUUUUAUUAACAAAAAUUCAUAUUAAUUAAUAAAAUACACAUUUAUCCAUAUUUUGUAUAUAGAAGUAAAAUCAUCAAAUCAAAUCAAUAUUUUUCCUUCAAAUCAAGCAUUAAAUGCUGCUAAAAAUGUGUCAUUAAGCAUCUCGAGGUCAUUUGAUGGGCAUAAAGAAAUCGUCUUGGUAGCAAAGUUAGCUCCGCUGCUGGUCUACAAGCAAGGUAAGUAGGUCCGAUUGAAUUGAAUAAGGGACUGUUCCUUAGCUCCUCCCCCCGAGGAGGACAUGAGGGGGGAAAAAGUGACAUUUUUGCUCACAUAGAGUAAAAAUGACAAAUUUUUUGGAACUUUCAUUUUCCAUGAUAUUUUUGUAAAUUUCCCACAUAUAUUUAUACUAAUUCGCUUCUCCCCUCUAAUUGUUCGCCUAUGUAUGUAUAUAUAAUAUAUACCGGGAGCCGGCAGCCCCCCUCCUUCGUUUUCUACCUUUUUCAAUGUAAUAUAUAUGAUAAUUUCCCCAGAGAUUUGCUACAGAGACCUCGGCCCUUCCCCGCGCCCCCGCCCCCGCUCCCGCUCUCUUUAGCAUUUCUGAUUUCCCGAAGGUUGCAAUUUUUUAUUAUUUUCUCAGCCGCCAGUCACGAGUUUCUCUCUAAGUUAGUCUCUCACUCCUCAUUUUCUCUAAUGCGUGUGGAAUAUCUCCCCAAUUACAGCCGCCAAUUUAUCUUUUUAUAUUGCUCCAACAGUCACCUUUUGUAUUCUUCAAUUUGGACUAUGGACUCCAGGUUAGACUUUGAUUCUACAUAAAAAUUGAAACGAAAGGCCAAUUUAAUGUAUUAUUUUCUUCAGGCCCUCCUUUCUUUUAAAAUAGUGCACUUUAGUCCUUCUUCCUCUCCAAUUACUUCAAACGAGUUCAUUACUAAAAACACAAAGAUAGAAAUUAAUAAUUUGAUGACAUAAAAGUUUAAUAAUAUUGCCUAAAUAAGUACGCAAAUUGUACUUAUCAGUAUAACGUAAAACAACAAUCACUAAACUAUAACUCGUUUUCAUCAAAUAGAAGUGGAAAUAGCAAAAUGGGAACAAAUAAUAGUCUCUAUUGGACCUAUUAUAUGGACUCAAAGGUCCAUUAUAUUAUUUGUUUGAUAUCAUACACUUGUAGUAGGAAAAACGCAUUAUUCUUAUCAUCCAAUACAAAUAAGGAUUUACCCUAAAAUGAUUUUAUAUAAAUUACAAGACAACUAAUGAAUAGAUAUACCCAAAACAUGAACGAAUAUGCAAUAAAUCUUAAUCUUCAAUUCUAAACUCAAAAUUUUCAAGCUCUUGAUGUAAUUGAUUUUCAAUUCCUUUCUAGGUUAAUUUUCUCUACCAAAAAAUGUGAAUUCGCCUCUUGUUCUUGAUGAAUUUUAUGAUAUGAAUGGGUAUUAAGAAGGCUUGAGAGAGAUCUUCAAAUGUAUAGCCAUUGUUUGAUACUUAUAGUCAUCAAAUUUAGGUCAAGUUCGCAUCCAAAUUGAUUUUCAAACAGAAUUUUGAUGUAGAAUGAAAUUAUCCAUCUGGUCAAAAUUUGUACCGUGCAUGCUCAGGGUACAUUUCAUUGCCUUUGCAUUGUAGAAAGAAUUUUCUCUCGGGAUUGCCAAAAUAAGGUCUCGCGCACUCACUCCCUCACGUGUGGUUGUCUCUCAGCAGUCGUCAGUAUGUUUGUCAUAUUCUUUUCAUCCGACAUACAAAUGAGGCAAUUCAAAUUGCUUUGAAAAUCUAACUCAAAAGGCUCAAUUAUUCUAUAAAUGAAAUUUUUUUUUUUCAAUUCAAAUGUCUACCAUGCGAAAAAUGGAUCUAAAUUUGUGGCUGAAUAUCUAAAGUAUAAUUUUUACGGAUGGAAAUUGAUUACUGAAAAUAUUUUUAUUAUAUUUCAAUGCUUCACCCCUUUGACUUCCAAUUGCAUCUCAUUGAUUCUAUGUAACCUUCAAUCAUCAUUUGUGGUCCGUAUCAACUACUUUAUACUUAAAUUUAGGUUCCCAAACUUAAAGAAGACUAUAAAGUUCUUUGACGGAACUUUUGAUAAAAGUUGAGGAAAUAUGUGUUGCAACAUUGAUAAAAGAUGUGGAUCCCAUGAAAUGUAUUUAAAAUUGAGGUUUAACCAUUUGAAAAGUUGAUUUCUGCAAAGUUUUAUCAAACAAAUAAACAUUGGUCAUAAUCAACAAUAUAUAUAGCCAAAUUACAAGUAAAUUACACGAAUUUUCUAUGGUUGUGAUAAUUUUAUUUUUUAGGGUCAAAAUUAUCAAAAUAAAAAAUUAGGAGCAUCAGUGAUAAUCAACAAUAUCUCUAGCCUAUGAUAAUCAUACUUUAAUUUUGUUCUAAAAGUAAAAAUUAUCAAAAUCCAAGAAGAAUAGGUGCAUUGGUGGCAGUCAACAAUAUAUCUAUAAUCUAUCUGAAAUUACAAAAUUACGUUAAUUUUUUAUUUAUUUUAUUAUUAUUAUUAUUAUUAUUUUUUUUUGUGAUAGUGAUAAUUUCCUUUUAUUUUAAAAGUCAAAAUUGCCAAAAUCUAAAAAGAUCACUAUAUGCUGUUUCUCAUGUAAUUUAUUACUUUUAAUAAGACAUUGCUGCAUUAAUCUGAUUUAUGAAAUCUAAAAUAUGCAUAAUUGUAGAUUUUCAUAAUAAGGUUUCUCAAACUAAUUAAUGUGGGUAGAGAUUUCGAAAAUUACACUAAAUUCAUACAAAGUUUUUUGUGAUUUUGAUAAAUUUUUCCCACAUAAUGAAUGGCUUAAUUGGUAAGCUUAGACUAAAUCAAGGAAAGCGAGUAAAGAUUACAUGAAUUUCUUACUCAAUCUUUCAUGAUUAUUUUUACCGUUUGAAAGAAACGGAUUUGUAUGCUUAGCCUAUAAAUAUCGUUGAGAUUUCUGUCAGCAUUAUAAUUUAGUAUAAUCACUAGAAACAUGUAUUCGAAAAUGUUAAGCUUUCUCCUUGCGCUCUUGGUGAUUGAGUCAUGUUCGUCUUACUUUUUCUAUAUUUAUGUGUAUGAUACGAUCACAUGUAUGUGUGUUCAUAUACCAAUUCAUUUCUAUGUUUAAGAAUUCAUUUGUUUGUUGCAGGUGUUUUACUUGAUGUUGAAGCAAGAGGAGGUGUGGUUGUUCUCCAUUGUACGAGUGACCAGGAUUGCAGCAUAAGUUGUCAGGGAAUUGGUGCGCCGAAGUGCAUCAACACACUGUGCAAAUGUUUGCCUCCAGUCCCAGGCGGCAAGAACAAGUCUGGUGUUAAUAAGGAAUUCUUGAAUAAUUGAAUUGACGAAGCAUGCUCAUGAAGUAUGAACUUCAAAGCAUUUUCUGUAAUAAAGGCUUUAUAAUAAUUGGUGGGCAUUCUGUAACACUUGUCUUGGGAUCAUC